GAUAUUUAAGUAUAAUAUAAUUUUAUUUUUAUUUCAUCAAAAACUCUGCCUUCAAAUAGGAUGGCAAAAUAUAAUUUUGUUUUUAAACCACAACAUAUAUGAUAUUCUGUUUGACUUUAUGUCCUUAAUGUAAAACAAGAAUAAAAUUAUAAAAUAAUUUAGAGUAAUUUUUUAAACCAUAAAAAUAUAAGGUGUCAAAGUAAAAACACGUUAAACCACAAAAAUACAAUGGUGUCAAAGUGAGACCGCGGUGAGGUAAAUUUAAGUUUCCCCAAAAAAUUAAAAUUGAGGAGGCUAUUAAAUUUAAAAUGGUCUAUGGUUGAGGGGUUUUAUGUACAUAAAUUGUUAACUUAUUUUCAUAUUAUAUUGUGAGAGAGGACAUAAAAUGUCAAUUUUUAAUUCCUAUAGUAGGAUUGAUUCUGUGGGUCCAAAGAACUAUGCUUGUAAGGAUUAAUGAAAUGCAUAGUUAUAGGAAAGCUUCAUGAGCAUGGACAAAUUCCAAUUAACUUGUUCUUUUUGUCCAUUUAAUUGUAUUUUAAUGCAAUGAAUUAGCUUGAGUGCAAGUUUAAGAAAGAUUCAGUGUUAGUUAGUAUAAUAAUAUGUUUGCGUCCCGGGAUUGGUUUUGCCUCUUAAUUAUUUCCCCUCUUUUACUUCAAAUAAAAAACUAUUUAUUUUUUUUUUGAGGAAAGGUAGCAAGCUACCAGCUUCAUUCAUUGAAUGUACGAACUAGACUACAGAGGUGAGGCAACUCGGGCCUCUAAGAACGAAACAACAAUCAUAAUAAUAAUAAAAAAAAAAGAAAAAAAAGAAAAAAAACACACACACACACACACACACAUACACACACUAAAGAACCGGUCGUAAGAGGGGUUUUCAGGACUUCAGAAGCUCUUUAGUCCGUUGUACAAUCAAAACAGGAUCGAAAUGGACGUUUCGAAAGAUCAAAUCAUUCCUGACCUUCCAAAUAGUCCACUAGCGAGCGACCAAUUCAGAUAAGCUAUUUUGCUUACUAUGCAUUCCUUUCUUGGCCAACCACCUCUUUUUAAUUUUUAUUUUUUACUUGAGUUUUUCGUCCAAAGUUGAGUAUAGUUUUUCAAUAAUUACUUAUUAGCCAUUCGUCGGUAAUUAUUCUAAUCUUUAUUUUGUAAAAAAACAAUAAAAAUUAUCAAAUGUUAUAAAAUCACUCAUAAAUUUAAUAAUAAAUCUAAUUUAAUUGUUAACAGUUACGCAAUAAUUAAAUUUGAGGGGGUUAUUUCAGAACACGAUAUAGGUGAGGGGCCCUACAUACAUUCUCACCAAGAUCAAACUAUGUUUAAGAAAUCUUAACCCUUAUUAAGUUUGAUUAAUAAAGCAAUAAUAAAUUACCGACCGUCCUAACGCAAGUGACAAAAAGGCUUGAUGAUUGGUACCCGAGACCCAAGUUCGAAUUCUAGUUGAUACGCAUUUUUAGUUAAGUUUAUUUCUAAAUGAAAUAAACGAAACGAAUAGCAUGCUACCUUUCUCUCAAAAAAAAAAAGAAAAGAAAAGAAAAGAAAGCAAUAAUAAAUUAAUCAUUAAUAAAGCACUAGUUAUUUGUGGAUGGCCAUGCAUGUGGACCAAAUGUGUAGGCAAAAGAUAGACAAUACAUUGUGUCAUGGGAUUUGUAGGAGAGCAUUUAAUUAAUGAGAUAUUACCACAAAUGCUAAGAUUUAAAAUUAGUGGCUUGAUGAUGCAGAAUCAUAUGCAUAUAAGCUGUAGCUUGUUGCCCACGCAGUUGCAAAUAAAAAAUACAAAGAAGUUUACAAAGAUUUUCUUAACUUCAAGCUCUUUGUAAACAGAUCAUUGAACUUUUGAUUUUGAUAAUUAGAGUUCUUAAUCUUUUUUAUAGUUUAAUAAAAGAAAAUUUCUCGUUUUAGUUGUUUGUCUUGAUAUAUAUAUAUAUAUAUAUAUAUAUAUAUAUAUAUAUAUAAUGAUGAAGAUAUAUAUAUAUAUUAGAGUGAGAGCUACUGAUGGCUAUCGCGAAGGACGGAGCCUUCGGUGCUUUCCAGCUCGUUUCGAUGUUGCGACUGAUUCGAAUCGUCGAUCGGCUCCGUUAAACUUGAUCUAGGAGUAUUUGAGUAACUGAAAAAAAAUUUUUUGAUUUUACGAAUCAGUUUGCCUAGUAACGAAGGGGCUCAAGUUCAACCGGUGAAAAGAAAAAAUUUAACAAAGAUAUAAUAAAUAUGACAUUAAAAUUUUAAACAAAAAUAUUGAUCUUGGUUUUAUAUAUUAUAAAGAAUUUUAUCAAAAUUUCACGUGAUUUAGAACAAUUGUAUACGCCGUUAAACUUGGCAAACGCUCACUACGGCCAUUGAAAUUUGUUGAUUUUUUGAGCUCAUUCGAUCACUAGGCAAAUGAUAUCGAAAAAAUAAUAAAUUAUUUUCUAGGUACUCCAAAUACUGUAAAUCAAGUUUAAACGAAGCCGAUCGACGAUUCGAAGUCGGCAAAUCGAAAACGAGCUGGAAGUACGGAAGGCUCCGUGCUUGCCGAUGGCAAGUGCCCGACUCUAUAUAUAUUAUAUAUAUAUAUAAUAUAUAAUAUAUAUAUUAUAGUAUAUAUAUAUAUAUAGUGUGUCUGGUAUGCUUAUAGAAGCAGGAACCCUCGUGCUUCCAUUUAUGUUCGAUGUUUGGACUUUCAGAAUCGAGGGCGACGAUCGGCUCCGUUAGACUUAAUCUAGAGUAUUUGAAGUAUCUAGAAAAUAAAUUUUGCGAUUUUUCAAUAUCAUUUGUUUAGUGAUCGAAGUGACUCAAAAUCAACGGCUAAAAAUAAAAAUCUUACAAAAUAUGAUGAUAUGAUAUUAAAAUUUUAAAUCAAAGUUAUUGAUCUUGUUUUAUAUGGUAUAAAGAAUUUUCUAUCAAAAUUUCAUGCGAUUUGAAUAUUUCUACACCGUUAAACUUGCAACCGGCUCACCACGGCCAUUAAAAUUAUUAAUUUUGAGCCCCUUCGAUCACUAGGCAAAUGAUAUCGAAAAGUCACAAAAUUUAUUUUCUAGGUACUUCAAAUACUGUAGAUCAACUCUAACGGAGCCGAUCGUCGAUUCGAAAGUCCGAACAUCGAAAACAAAGUGGAAGCACGGAGCCUUCCGUACUUCUAGGUCGUUUUCAAUGUUGUGACUUUCGAAUCGUCGAUCGGCUCCGUUAAACUUGAUCUAGAAUUUGAAGUACCUAGAAAAUAAAUUAUGCGAUUUUUCAAUAUUAUUUGCUUAGUGAACAAAGGGACUCAAAAUCAACGGCUGAAAAUAAAAAUCUUACAAAAUGUGAUAAUAGGACAUUGAAAUUUUAGAUCAAAGAUAUUGAUCUUGUUUUAUAUACUAUAAAAAAUUUUCUAUCAAAAUUUCACAUGAUUUGGAUAUUUCUACACUGUUUUUUUUUGUUUUUUGAACGAUAGGCAGCACGCUACCCGCUUCGUUUAUUUCAUUUAGAAAUAAGCUCAGCAAGAAAUGUGAAUCAACUAGGAUUCGAACUUGGGCCUCAGGUACCAAACACCAAGCCCUUUGCCACUUGCUCUAGGGACGAUCGGUGAUAUUUCUAUACUGUUAAACUUGCAAACGGCUCACUACGGCCAUUAAAAUUAUUGAUUUUGAGCCCCUUCGAUCAUAGGCAAAUGAUAUCGAAAAAUUAUAAAAUUUAUUUUCUAGGUACUUCAAAUACUCUAGAUCAAGUUUAACGGAGCCGAUCGACGAUUCGAAAGUCGCAACAUCGAAAAUGACUUGAAAGCACGGAAGGCUCAGUACUUCCAAAAACAUAGUAGCCUCACUCAUAUAUAUAUAUAUAUAUAUAGGCUGGAAUACUAUUAAUAGUAAAACGCUCUCUUUGCUAUCAAGUUUUUAACCCUUGGAUGAAAAAUUAUAGGGUCAGAAUGAUAUUAGUCGGUUAGAGUUGAGUGGUUCCCUCUAGGGUUGAGUAGUCCCCACUGGGUUAUAGUAUUUAAUCCAAUGGUUAGAAAUAAUGAAAAGAGUUGAUCCAAAGGCUAAAAAACUGGUAGUAACAAUGAAAUUUUGCUACUAAUAGUAGCCCAGUCCAACUAUAUAUAUAUAUAUAUAUAUAUAUAUAUAUCAUUAACAAACAGACUUCACUGCCACUCAUUUAUUUUUUAUGAUAGAACCUUCAAAUCGAUGAUGGGUACCGUUGAACAUGAUUUAUAUCAUUUGAAAUAUUUAAAAACUAAAUUUUGAUAUUUUUGAUAUCAUUGACCUAAUGAUCAAAGAGUUUUAAAAUUUAUAAUUUUAAUAGUCAAUAUGAGGGUUUUUUUUUUUUGUUUAACGGUAUAAAGAUAUCCAAAUUAAUUGAAAUUUGAUUAAAUUUUUUUAAAAACUAUUAAAAUAAGAUCUAUACUCUUGAUCUUGAUUAUAAAAUUUCUAUCUAUCACUUUUUAAAGAAUAUUUAUUUUUAGCCAUUCGAAAAAGUAUGAAAUUUGAUUUCUAAAUCCUUCCGUUGAUAUAGAUCAUGUUCAACAGUCUCGAUCGUUGAUUUGAAGACUUCAUCAUCGAAAACAAAUAAGUGGCAACGGAGCCCGCUUGUUGCCGAUAGCAUUCCAGCCCAACUCUAUUGUUUCUUUAUAUUCUAAGGUUUUAUAUAAUUAUGUGUAAGAAAUGCGGUCAAACCGACUAUUUAGCCUAUAACUUUGAUUGAUCAGAGCGACUUAUUAAGCUAUUUUAUAAAGUUUAUAAAAUGAGAUCGCGAAAAUCAAAUUUUCGAAUAAUACAUUUUUCCCCAAAGAAAAGGCUUGUAUAUAGAAAAAAAAUUAAUAAAUACUUUUAUGGCUGAUUUUAUCAUUCAGAGGACCGAAAUAACAUAUCUUACCAAGAAUCAAACAAUUACGAUUACAAAUAUUUAAAUUAGUUUUUAUAAAUAUUAAUUUUGUUCAUAUAAUUAUUCUUAAUCUAUGCUAAUUGGCAAGUUAGAUAAAUAACAGGGUAAAAUACACCUGAAUUAUAUUUUCAUUUUUUUGAAUAAAUAGCUAUUUAAUUCUAUUAUAAGCAGGUUCACUUAUUUUACUUUAUUUCAAAGAGAAUUGACAUUUAUUUUACAUUAAAAUUUUAAUAUAUUUUAUAAUUAUGAAUUAAAUUAUAAUAUAUAUAUAUAUAUGAAAAGUUAAAAGAAAACCUUAUUACAAUAGCAUAAAAUAGUGGUGCUAAAACAAAAACUUACUGCAGGAAUCUUUAUUGGUGGAGGCAAAUCUCACCUAAAAAUUUUGCACUCUUGGAUAGAGCCGAAACUACCAUGUAGCUGCGAAUCAAGGACUUUUCAGUGAGACGUCGUUGAAAAGCUCUCCACUAAAGUUUUAUCUAUUUUAUGACAACGAGCUAAAAUAACUUGUUUAUAUAUUGAGCAAUAUUAUUUGUGCGUCUAUAAUUUAGAUAUAAACUUUAUAUUUUGUUUCAUCAAAGGUUUAGAUUUAUUUAUUUGCAUUAUCAAUAUUUUUUUAAUACUCAAAAUUUUGUUUCAAGUUGUUGUAUUUUGCCUCUUUUGUCAGGUUUGCGUUACUAUUCCAUCAAUUUCUUAUAAUUUAUACCGAAAAUACCUUCAAAAUGACAUAAAUAUAUUAAAAAAUUAUUUUUUUCUUAUUUAGGAAGUAAAGGUACGUAAUUUGGUUAUUAAUUUGUCUUUCCAUUAACGUCGUACCCUCCUAAAAAUAUUUAUGAAAUUUUAAGGAAACAAAAUGUAGAUUUUUAAAAGUCAAGUAGGAAAAGCAAAAAGGUAUUUAUAUAAAAAGAAAAUUGUAUAAUUUAGCUAUAUUUUUUUAAAUUUUUAAACGAUGGAGUUUAUUUAUUUACAUAAAUAGAGUGUAUAAGUAGCAUUUUUAUUGUAUGUACAGAGUCUUCUAGUCUAUUCUAUCAUAAAUCAAUAACUUCCUAAAUUUUUUUCCAAGUCAAAAAUAAAUACCAGAAGAAUGUUUACUGCCACCCAUUUUAAUGCAUCCAAUACAAAACUUUCCUCUAGAAACUACAAGUUCAAAAUGCGUUCAAUUAUUCAUCUAGACGAUUUGAAUUGAAAGCCCACAUGAAUCUUAUCAACUACACUUGACUUGGACUAAAGACCUAAAUGAAAGAUAUCUUAGGUGCAUAAUUCGAGAAACAAACUGUCCAAUCAUCGGCUCUAAUUAAUCAUUAAUUUCAAAAUUUUGAGCUCUUAAAAAAAUACAACCAGUUCAUUUCAUUUAAAGUGUACAGAUACAGCGUUCGUAGGUCUUGACUGUGAUUCGGCCUAACUAGUCUCCCGACAUCCCACCGCCAUUUCAAACAUGACCAGAUCCAACGUGACCUCCCGCUAUAUGACAGAAUACUGGUCCCUUUGAGCUAACAAAAACUGUGUUGGGUUCAUAUUUCAAAUUUAAAUUUUAAAUUUGAAUAACUGCUUAGAGCAAUAAGUUGGUAUUUAUUUUGUGGGGAUAUGAGAUUUAGCUUGGAAUAUACUCGUGCAAGAAUAGACAAAUGUGCAGUGACCUAUGAGAUGAAAUUGUUGGGGUGAUCUAAACAAAAGGAAUUACUUGGAUUUAUUUAACAUUAAUUUGCUAUGUCAUUGCCAAGGUUUCAAUCAUAACUACGUCAACAAAGAGAGAAAAUAAAAAGUGAUAAAGUGUACGUUUUGUCAUCAAACUAUGAGACAUGCCAUACUUUUUUUUAGGCCUUUAAAUUUUAAUUUAGUAUAAUUUUUAAUUAGAACUUUUAAAAUAUUAUAAUUAAAUAAAUCUCAUAAUUUAAUUUAAUUGACUAAAUAUUAACAAAUCGCUUAUAUAAAAGUAAGGUGAUAUCUUAAUUAUUGACGCACUAUCAAUUAUAAUAUUAUUACAAUAUACUUCUACAUUAGUAAUAUAUUAAUAUUUUAUCAACUAAUUAUAAUAAUUUUGAAAAUUAAUUCGUCUUAUAAUUUGAGAAUCAAACCUGCAAUUUAGUCAAAUAUAUAUAUAUAUAUAUAUAUAUAUAUAUAUAUAUAUAUAUAUAUAUAUAUAUAUAUAUAUAUAUAUAUAUAAAACUAACAUAAGAUAAUCACAUCUAGGGAAAAUAUGGUGAGAUAGUGACAGUGAGAUCAGAGGCCGCAAAAUUAGUAAAACUUUGAAGCCUAACAUUUUUGACUAGAAUUAAUUGUGGGCUUUUAUUUUCAUGAAUUUCACAUUGUGCAUGAGUCUCUCUCUUUCAUGUCCUAUAAUUUUUAAUACAUAACAGGAUUACUGUGCUAUUAAGAGCACAACAGUUUUUAUGCUCGUAACUUUCUAACCACCUAUUCAGGAUUACUGUACUAUUAGGAGUACAGCAGUGCUUGUGCUCCUAACUUUCUAACCACCAAUCCAAUUUGAUGAGUUGUUAGGAUGAGAGAGAGCGAAGAGAAAUUGGGAAGAAAUUUGUGUCUCAAUUUCUUUUUUCUUUGAAUUUCUCUUAAACUUUUUUUCUAUUUUUCAUCUUAACUAUUCAUAAAACUUGAUAAAUGAUUAGAAAGUUAGGAGCAAAAUUGAUGAAUAGUUAUAAAGUUAGGAGUACAAAAGCUAGUGUGCUCCUAAUAACACAUUAGCCCUACUCAUUAUAUAUAUAUAUAUAUAUAUAUAUAGAGUAGGGCUGCUGUGCUCUCAGGAGCACGGAGGCCCCUGAGUCGUUUUCGAUAAUGGAGUUUUCGAAUCGACGAUCGGCUCCGUUAAACUUGAUCUAGUGUAUUUAAAGUUUCUAGAAAAUAAUUUUUGUGAUUUUUCGAUAUCAUUUACCUAGUGAUCGAAAGGAUUCAAAAUCAAUAAUUUUUAACGGCUGAAAAUAAAAAUCCUAUAAAAAGUGGCGAUAUAGCAUUAAAAUUUUCGAUCAGAAAUAUAGAUCUUGUUGUAGAUGGUAUAAAGAAUUUUCUAUCAAAAUUUCAUCUGAUUUGAAUACUUCUACAGCACGUAAAACUUGAAAACGGCAGAUAUCAACCAUUAAAAAAUUAUGGAUUUUGAAUCCUUUCGAUCACUAGGUAAAUGAUACCGAAAAAUCGCAAAAUUAUUUUCUAGAAACUUCAAAUGCGCUAGAUCAAGUCUAACGGAGCCGAUCGUCGAUUCGAAAAUUCCAUUCAUCGAAAACGGCUCAGGGCACGGAGGCCUCCGUGCUCCUGAGCGCACAGCAGCCUGCUCUAUAUAUAUAUAUAUAUAGAGAGAGAGAGAGAGAGAGAGAGAGAGAGAGAGAGAGAGAGAGUGAGGCUACUAUGCUUCUGGAAGCACGGAGCCUUCCGUGCUUCCAGGUCAUUUUUGAUGUUGCGACUUUCGAAUCGUCGAUCGGCUCCGUUAAACUUGAUCUAGAGUAUUUGAAGUAUCCAGAAAAUAAAUUUUGCAAUUUUUUGAUAUCAUUUGCCUAAUGAACUUACGGGGCUCAAAAUCAACGGCUGAAAAUAAAAAUUUUACAAAACGUGAUAAUAUGACAUUAAAAUUUUAAAUCAAAGAUAUUGAUCUUGUUUUAUAUAGUAUAAAGAAUUUUCUAUAUUUCACGUGAUUUGAAUAUUUGUACACCGUUAAACUUGCAAACGGCUCACCACGACCAUUAAAAUUAUUGAUUUUGAGUCCCUUCGAUCACUAGGCAAAUAAUAUCGAAAAAUUACAAAAUUUAUUUUCUAGGUACUUCAAAUACUCUAGAUCAAGUUUAACUGAGCCGAUCGAUGAUUCGAAAGUUGCAACAUCGAAAACGGCCUGGAAGCACGGAAGGCUCCGUGCUUCCAGAAGCAUAGUAGCCUCACUCUAUAUAUAUAUAUAGCAGGACUGUCGUGCUCUCACUCCUGAUCCGUUUUCGAUAAUGGAAUUUUCGAAUCGAUGAUCAGCUCCAUUAGACUUGAUCUAGCGUAUUUGAAGUUUCUAGAAAAUAAUUUUUAUGAUUUUUCGAUAUCAUUUACCUAGUAAUCGAAAAGAUUCAAAAACAAUAAUUUUAACGGCUGAAAAUAAAACUCCUAUAAAAAGUGGUGAUACAGCACUAAAAUUUUUUAUCAGAAAUAUUGAUCUUGUUGUAGAUAGUAUAAAAAAUUUUGUAUCAAAAUUUCAUCUGAUUUGAAUACUUCUACACCGUUAAACUUGAAAACGGCAAAUAUCAACCAUUAAAAAUUAUUGAUUCUGAAUCCUUUUAAUCAAUAGGUAAAUGAUAUCGAAAAAUCGCAAAAAUUAUUUUCUAGAAACUUCAAAUACCCUAGAUCAAGUCUAACGGAGUCGAUCGUCGAUUCGAAAAUUCCAUUAUCGAAAACGGCUCAGGAGCACGGAGGCCUCCGUGCUCCUGAGAGCACAGCAGCCCUGCUCUCUCUCUCUNAUGGACAUUGUGUCCAUGAAAUUUACUUUAGGGAUACCCUAGAUGGGUGCCAUGUGUUUCGAGCCACUUCCGGAUGGGUGCCGUGUGGCACCCAACUCAUGCGGGGCCCAUCGCUCCUUUUGCUCUCCCAGCAAGGGAAGCAGCAGGAUUUUUUUUGGUGCACCCGGUGCACCAUUUUUUAUUUUAAAAUUUUUAUUUUUAUUUUUUAAAUUAUAAUUUAAUAUAACAAAUAUAUAUAUAUAGAAAACAUAUGUAAAAGAAUUUAGAAUUCAGCGUUCAAAAUUCUUUUACACAUAUUUUUUUAAAUAUCAUAGUAUAUAUCUCUAUUACAUUAAAUUAUAAUUAAAAAUAAAAAAUAAAAAAUAAAAUUUUAGAAUAAAAAUGAUGCACCGGGUGCACCAAAAAAGUCUCACAUACUCUCCCAAAUGGAAGAGCAGCAGGGCGAUGGCUCGGAUGCCACGUGGCGCCGCGCCAGGGCGUCCUUAAAUUAGCCUUUAUGGACACCAUGUCCAUAAAAUUUUUGUCCGUAACCAUGGACCCACUGAAGCAAUUAAAAUGGUCCUCAGAAGCUUGCCGUGUAAUGGAUCAGUUUCGCAAUCGAUCGAUCCGUCAAAAUCGCUAGGGCCAUCAAUCUCCAUCAUCGAUGUGAUCGGAGGGUCAGGAUCAUCAAGUGGAACGAAUAAUUGGAUUUAUCGGGUCAAAAUUUUGUUGUAUGCAGAAAGAAAAGUAAAAAAAAAAAAAAAUUGUAUUACAAUGCAUUCUGUAAAACGAUGGGUAUAUCUGUUUGGGUGGAAGUGGGGUGAAAGUGGAGAGGUUGGAAGUCAUUUUCGUCAUAAAUGAUCACUUUCGUUAUUUGGUUUGCUGUAAAAAAUGUACGGUCGAAACUCGAGUUAACCACAAACGGCGUAAUUAAUUUUGACCUAUCGUGGGUCAAAAUUAAUUACGGUAAAAAAAAUAAUAAAAUAAUAUAUUAGGUAAAAAUAGUUAUAUUUAAAUAUAUUUAAUUAUGGUAUUAAUUACUCUUUUAUUUAGUUGGUAUAUUUAAAAUAUGAUAAAAAUUGAUUAGUUAAAUUUUAAUAUUUUUGUUUAUUUAGUUUGUACAAUUAAAAUAUAAUAAAAAUUGAUUAAUUAAGUAUUAAUAUUUUUUUUUACUUUAUAAUUUUAUUGUUGUAUUACUAUAAUUUAUGUAUAAAAAAUAAUUUAGUUAUUUUAAAUUAAAUUCGGUAAAACAAACAUGAAGUAUAUAUGAGCGUUGGUCGAUACUAAUUUUUUUGAAUUCAAAACCAAAUUUUUUUACUUUUAGGUAACUCACACCCUUUAAUUAAAAUAAAAUUUUAAUUAAAAUAAAUUAAAAUCUAACUCAUGAUCAGUUCGAUCUAAAAAACUAUUUUCUGCCGAUAUCCCAAAUCGAGUUUUUCCAACUUUUAAUUAAAAUAAGAUUUUAAAAUAAUAAAACUAAUAUUAAAGCAAUCAUCUUUUAAACUACUUUUAUAUAUAUUAGGAAUAAUUAACUUUCAAAAUGUAAAUAAUAUUCUCGAAAAAUAAAUUGUAGUUUAUUAUCUAAAUAUUUAUACGAAACAGAUUCCGGGUGGGGCUUCGCGAGCUGGAUUAGGAGCGGAUCAAAUUUUUCAUCAUAUACCUGCUCUGAAUUCGUCUCGAAUUAUAGAAAUAGUCUCGUUUACUGUCCUAAAUUCAUUUAUUAUAUAUUAUCUCUAAUUUACUAUUUCAUUCGGAGCGAAAUCUCUACCACCGUGAGUCCAUUUGAAUUUCUGGAAGAAAAUAAUAAUCAUGUGUGAUUCUUAUUUAUAAGUGGAUGUUUGAAUCAACUGUUCUAUAGCGAUAAGAGGCCUAUAAUUUUUGGUAGGGCCAGUUAGAAUGUUCUUGAUGGGAUUGAUAAAUAUCUUUUGAUCAAUUAAUUCGUCAAAUAAAUUGAAAAAUAUGUAAUUUUCCAUCACAUUUAGGUGGAAUUUUUUAGAUAUGUCAUAUUCUUAUACCCGUUUGGAUUCGGAUAUUGCCGCUAACUCUCUAACAUUGCUGUUAUAGUUACCGUCUAAAUUGGACUCAAGCAAAAUCGUAUAACAUCAAUAGACAUUUAGAUGUUAUAUAAGCCACGCGUAAUGAGAAUCUUUAUGGGGGAUGAUAUCAUUACGAAAAGAUGAUUAAUUUUGAUAUUAACAGAUAAAUUUAUUAAGUUUAGAAUAAUUACUGACUAAAUUUGAUUAUUCAUUUGCUUUGGUAAAAAUAGAUUUAGUGGUAUCACUUAACAAUAUCACUAAUUAUACUACAUGAAAAAUUAAAGAGCAAAACGAAAAUAAUUAGUACGUGUUAUGUCCCAAAUAACUUGGGAACUGCUUAGGAGAGAUUUUGACUUAAUCGUGAGUCUAACUACAGUGGCCUACUUAGAUAACUUUGCGUCUACAAGCAAGUGUUAAUUAACUAAAAUGGAUUAUUUUUUCCUACAGUACUUGUUAAUUUUAUACGUAACGUCGAUGGCUUUAUAGUAAAAUUUGCCAGUUAUAUUGGUAUUAUACUCUAGUUUAUUAAAAAAUUUGUUGCAAAUGUCGUUAGAGGAUUAUUUAAUAACUAGUUUAGUAUAUAUCUUAAAACUAAACAAGAUUAGAUGUAGCUUAUCUCACCACCUAAUGUGUUAAUUGAAAACAAUUAACAGUAUUAACCGUUCAAGCUUGUAACUAAGCAUGGAGUGACCAAAUAUUUUUUAAUUAAGAGCUUAAUUAAAUAUUAUAUUAUGCUAUCAUAAUCAUCUAGCUAAGAUAACAAUGAUGCCAAUAAAAAAAAAUUCAGAAUCAUUUAUUUUUGUCAAAAUUAAUCUGAUGAUCAUUUAUAUGGCUCUAGUCCAAGAUACAUCACACUUAAUUUGCUUUUGUGGAUAUGCUUCAAAUCAUGUAUAAAAAUUCUCUUUUGUUUGUUAAUCUCUUUAUUAAUUUGUAUCAUUCCUUAGCUGGUACGACAAGGUGGGUCCAGAAUACCUCGCAUUCAAAAUUUGAAAAUCAACCAAAACACACGAAAGGAGAGAGAAUGGAUGUAUCUUGUCGUUGAUCGUUACGUUUGCAUGAGUGGCCACAAUACAGGUCAUAUUUGGAUAUCGGAAUAAGUUAAUCUAAUGAUAAUAACUUACAUGGUAUGAAAUUUUUUUAAAAUAUAAUUGUAAAUAAAAAAAUUCAAUUUUUGUUUUUUUAAAAAACUUUGCUAUUUAUGAUUUAAUAUGAUAAUAUAUUUUUUGUUUUAUACUCAAAAAAGCAACUUGAAUUUCGGAUAUAAUAAUAUCUCACUCUUUUUUUGAGAGAGUGAAAGGUAGUAUGCUAGCUCGCUUCGUUUACUUUUUUUAGAAAUAAACUUAAAUGAAAAUGUGAAACAAUUAGGUUUCGAACUUGUGUUCUCGGAUUCCAACGAUCAAACCUUUUGCCACUUGCAUUAGGGACGGCCGGUCACUCUAAAAAUUUGAUCCCACUAUUUUUGAAUUAACAAUAUAAAUUUUUUUGAGUAAACUAAGUGUGUAUAUAUAUAGAGAGAGAGAGAGAGUCUUGCUAUGGUACUUGUAAAGGCGUCAAGCACUUAAUGCUUGCAAAUUUUUUACUGUUAGAUCUACUUUUUUGAUCAUUUUCAUUCGUUAUUAUUUUCAUCCGUUAAAUUAUACUAUUCAAUUAACCACUCAAAUAUAUAAAGCACUGUCUUGCAAAAUGUGAACCUCGAUCUAAUUGAUCCGCAGCCAUAUAUAUAUAUAUACAUCCGUCGCCAAAGAUGUACUAAGCACAUAUGGAUGCCACAUAGUCACAUAUAUAUAUAUAUAUAUAUAGUUGCAAAAUGUACUAAAAUGACAAAACAAAAUAUGAGUGCAACUGUGCAAACCACAACUAAAAAGAAGAAAAGCCCCACCUACCAAACCAUCCAACAAUUACACCACAACAUCAGAAGCACAUCCUUCUCAGUGUACUAUACUAUUAUACACAUCCAAAUUCAAACCGUAAAAAGGGUUUUCCCAUUAAAGGGUUUUCCCACCACAACAUCUAAACACUUCACUAAUUAAUUACACAUUUCCACCUAAUCCACAACUAAUUAAAGACAACCCCAUAGAAGAAAGAUUCAAUUAAAAAAAAAAAAAAAGAAACAUUGGUAAAAUUGCAUAGAGAUCCACCUCAACUAUAGACCAUUCUGAAAAUAUUCUGUUUAUUUUUGUUAACAACACCUUGCUUAAAAUUUUUAAUCAAUUAAAUUAGGAAUUUUUUAUUUUAUUAAAAUAAAAAUUCUAAUUUAACCGACGGAAAAUUAAAACGAUAUAUAGUCGAGAAAAAUAAAUCUCCAACACAAUUUUACCUCUCGAGCUCUAUGGGCUUCAUGCCGUCGCGCAUGCGCGCGAAGCUCUGCGACUCCGCGAGCUUCUGCGCCUCCAAAUCGUCGUCGUCCUCGUCCGCGGCCUUAACGAGGGGGACGUAGUCGGGCUCUUCCGGGUACAAUUUGGUUAUAAACAGGAAGGCGGCGACGGCGAACACGGCGGUGGCCGACACGUACCAGCUGAACUGCAGGUUGACGAGCGACUUGGCGCGGCCGAGCGCGUCGGGGUCGCGGCAGCGCACCACGUGGUGCCCUUCCUCGUAGUUCAAGAAGCAGCCCUUGGGGAUCAGGCUCGGCGUCCACAGCAUCACGCCCAUGGCCACGAACCACACCCCCUGGAGGACGAGGCUCACGGAGCGCACGAAGGCGACCGCGAAGCUCGCCGGGUGCGCGAUGCCGAGGAGCGUGGUGGCGAGGGAGACGGCGACGACGCACUGCAGGAGCCAGUGGUACUGCCCCUCCACGCCCAUGUGGUCGGCCGAGUGCAGGUGGAAGAUGAGCAGCUCCUGCGCCAGCGCCGCCGCCGCGAGGAGCAGCGUCAGCGCGUCGCGCGCGAGCGACCGAGCCGCGCCGUGCGUCGUCGUCGUCGUCGACGAGCGGCGGCGGUUGCGGUCGCGGUCGAGGUGGAUGGCGAAGGCGGCGUAGAGGAGGAGGGAGAGGGAGAUGGACGCGUGCUCGAAGUUGUGGAGGUGGUUGGAGGGGAUGGAGCCGUCGGAGUCGAACGGCUGGUGGGCCUCCGGGCCGAUGAACAGCUCCAUCGCGAUCGAGGCGAGCGAGCCGGCGAUUAUCAGCGCCGGCUCCAGGUACCGAGCGAGCGGCGCGGGGAACCACGGCCGCGCACGGUACGACCCGGGGCGCACCGCGUAGAGCCUGAUGUGAUUGAAAAGAUGCCACAGACCGAUUACUAGAAAUCCGACACCGGGCGCAACGUGUCCCACCAACGUCCCCAUGGCUUUUGCUUUUGCUUUUGCUUCUGCUUUUACUUUUGAUUGAACAAGCAAGCGAAAAAUGAAUGAGAAGUCCGAAGACGAGAUCGGGGGGUUUAAUUAAUUUCUUGGAGUUGGGAGCAAGGAAAAGAUGGUGGCGGGGGAAGAGGGGGAUUGGGAUUGUGUGGGGUUUUAGCUUUUGCGUCGGGGGUGGUAGAGAUUAUAAUGUGGGAUUAGGGGGGAUCUCUAGAGAGUUCUAAUGCAGAGGGGGAGUUUGAAAACUUGGAGCCAUGAACGGUUGACUCUCCUGUGGUUUGUUUGUAAGAGCUGACGUAGGAUUGGAUUGGGCCCAUGCGGUUUCUAGAGAGGAUAAUUAAAUGACUAAAUUACCAUUCCCUCAUUUAUCAACUUGAUCAUAAUCAUAUUAUUUUCUAAUUAAUAUUGUAUAAACAAGAGAUAAUAGAAACUGUAAUAAUUCAUUCUGUUUUGAUAUAUAUGAAACAAGUAUUUAUUCUAAAACUCUAAAACUGUUGUUAGAAAAUCACUUUUUUUUUUUUUUAUAAAUACUGAGGAUAAAUUUCUCAUUAAACCUCCAUAUGCGAAUACUAUUUUAAGAUUAACUCAAUAGAAAUCUCCUUCAUCCAUAAGUCACAAGUUAAGGAGAAAAAUUAGAAUUUGACCUGCAAGUGAGGGGCAUUUUGGUAAAUACAUAUUCCUUUCUUCUAAACUUCGAGAGUUUCGUAGUUCCCACGCAUAGGGCGACGGCGUUUUGGUUUUUUAAUUGACUACGCAGCUUUGGCCAAGGACUUCCGAGUCUUCGUCUCUACGACGCCUCAAAACCAAGCCAAAAAAUUAAAAAAAUUUAAAAAAGUCACAAAAGGUUAAAAAAAACGGUGUGGCGGACACCACACCGGAAUUUCGGUGUGGAGGAGCGCGUGGGCCGCGUGAUGCGAAGGAGAAUCUAGUCUUUUCAUCUACAUGUCCAGCACUGCCGCUAUUAAUAUAUGGAAACUGUAAACCUCAGGUUGUGUAUUUCUAGAAGUAGAAGGGUCACUUAUUAGCAUAACAUUUUAGCUAAAUUACAGAAAAUCCUCUUAUAAUAAUCUAUUUUUUUAUUUUUUUUUCUGAUAUUUAAAAACCUACACUUUAUCCCUCUAUAAAAUAAAAAAUGUGCACUUUACCUCCUGCUGUUAGGGUUCCGUUAAAAAAUAUAUUUUUAUGCCGAAAAUUCCCCUCCGUCAUCUCCCUGUUGCUGCGCCUCCCUCUGGCUCGCCACCUCGCCGCCGCCUCGCUGUCCUCCACUGCCUCGCCCUCACCACAUCCCCUUCGCCGUCCUCCGCCGCCUCGCCUUCGCCUUCUUUGCCCUUCUUUUACUGCCGCCCACCUCGGUUUUCUCCUACUGUCGCCGAAAUCGAGGGCGGCGAGGGUGCAGGAGGAGAAGGGGAGCAGGUGGAGAAGGAAAUUGAGAAAAAUCACGACCGAUUGAGGUGAGAAUUGCGGCCGAACGAAGGGGCGGCUGAGGAAGAUGGGGAAGAAGACGACAAUGGCGAUGGGCAAAAUGGUCAUUUUAUACACCGUAACCCCCCUGUGAACAUUUUUCAUUUUACAGGGGGGCAAAGUGUAGGUUUUUAAAUGUCAGGAGAGAAAAGUGAAAAAGCGGGUUAUUACAGGGGGGUUUUCUGUAAUUUAGCCGUAACAUUUUUCAUGUGUCUGAAUUUGCGAUUCACAUUUUUUAAUAUAAUUAGAUCGAAUAAAUUUUUUAUAUAAUAUUUUUAAAAAAAUCAAAAUAAUUUUUUAUAUAUACGAUAUGAUAUGACUAAAUUUUUUAGUUCUGUUAUAAUAUUCUAGACAAUGGUUUAACUCAAGAGGUUAAAUGUAUUAAGACUAGAAUAACUUUAGAAUGGAUGACCUCUGAAAAGUAAGACGUUAUAAUUGGUAUUAGAGCUCCUCACAAGGUUAAUUAAGACUAGCGAGAUAAGUCUCACGCUGCCUGAUACUAAUGAGUAUGCUUGAACUUUACGAAAACGUCAGGGCUUAAAAGAGAAGUAAUCAAGGAAUUAAGUGCCGUCCGUGCCGUACAGCGUACGGCACAGGGGCGUGCCAUACCGUGGGAAGCAUGGUAUAGUGGGGGGUCUUGGAUCCCCCUCUGUCUUGCUCCACACAUAUGCGUGCUGCUUGAGACAAAGCGGCACACAGUGCGUGCUGCUCUUUUUUUUUUUUUUUUUUUUUUUUUUUUUUUUUUUUUUUUUUGGGUUUCUUUUGUUCUCUGAGGUAUCGAGCGCCCUCUAUAUUGUUUUUUUUUUUUUUCACUUUGUUGUCUUUUUUUCAACUUUCUUUUUUACUUUUUGGUUGAUACCUUUUUUUAACUUCUUAUUUAUCAAUAUAGAAGUAAAUUUUUAAUUGACAUAUUCGAUCAGCCCGAGCCCUCCGCUUCCACCACAGAUAUCUAUUUUUUCUUCAUAAAAUUUUUGUCAAAAUUUAUCGCACCGCGAAACUUUUGGUGAAUCGGAAGAACAAAAAUCGAUCUGGUAAACAAAUUUUGAUCAAAUAUUUUUAAAAAGAAUAAAAGAACAAAAAAUAUAGAUGUAAUAUCGAAAAUAUAUGAUAUUCUCACAAUACCAGCAAUACUUAUAUUAACAUUAUCAAAUAAAUUUUGUAUCUACAGGUGACAAUAUAUAUGUCAUAUGAUCAAGCGCGACGAUAUAUAUGGAAUUAAACAGUCAUCUCUAUAUAAAGAUAUAAAUUUAAAUAAUUAUUGCACUUGUGAAUUUUAUUAUUGUAUUUUAAUUUCUAUUGUACAUUAUGUAUAGUUGUAUUUAUAAAGAGUUUACAUGCAUAUUAAUUGAUGAGUAUAAUAAGAAAUAUAUAGUAAAUAUUUAUAAUUAUUUAUUUAAAAUUUUCAAACUAAUAUUAUAAGAGUUUAUUGAAAUAAAAAAAAUAAAAUAAGUCCGUGUCAAAGCGUGUUAGUAGGAGGUCAUGCGUAUCUAUCGGCACGCAAGUGUGCCACGUGUCGGUACGCAAGGUUGCCUGUACCGUACCGUGCCAAGAAUAUAACGACAUGACCCCGUACUACGGCACUUUAAACUUUGGGAGUAAUGUAACACUUCCAGAAAAAAUAGUUAUAUAUUAAAGAUGUAAUGGGACUAAACUUUUUAAUCCAAUUAUAAUAUUUUAAAUGGUGGCUAAGCUCAAAAAGUUAAGUAAAUUAAGCGUGUUAAGGUUAGAGAAGUUUUAGGAUGAGUGAUUCACAAUCUAUCGACGAAAACAAACUAAGAAUAGCCAAAGUUUAACUAAGCGUCCGUUAGAGAAACUAUUUAAUUUAGUUCUUUUAUAAACAAGUACUUAAAUUUUCAAUUUUAUCAAUUAGAUUAUUUAAAUUUUGCUAAUCCUUUUCAUUAAUCAAAGUUACUAAUUACGCAAUCUUCUUAGUCAUCUGUCUCGCAUACGAUCUUAUAAAGCUUCAAAAUAUAAAAUGAUUUAUUCUUUCCAUUCUAAUGUAUCAAAAAGAGAUUGCAGAUAGGUUAAACUUGUUUUCAAUUCUCAUACUUAAUUAUUAAACAUGAAAGAGAAAAAAAAAUAUAUCUUCUUAUAUUUUAAAAAUUUGCUAAGGACAAGUCUCAAUUAGUUUGUGGUUUACAUGAAAAAGCAUUUCUCAUUGAUGGUUUAUUAUCUUUUAUUUGUUUAAGAUUUAAACUUAAAUGCGAAGUUUGUAUUAGACAAAAAAAAAAAUUAAAUGGGUUAUAGCUAGUAUAUUCUAACGUUUUAUUUCUGUUUCGAGUGACUUUAGGUUAACUCAAAUGCCGCGAUUUGCAUGUGUUAUAUAUCUCAAAAGAUUCACAAUGUUUAUACAAGAUUUAAAAUAAUUUCAAUAAAAUUGCUUCUCGAAAGAUCGUCUAAAGACGAAUGUGAUCAGAGACGCACAAUUUAUAAAAAUAUUUAACUACUCAUUUGCAGUAUAGAUAUGGAAAUAUUUAGAUUGAUAAGUGAGAUAAGAGAUGGUAUAACAGCGAUAGUAAUAUAUAAGAUUUAUACCUAUAAAUAAUAUGACUAUUGUGACAAGUCAUAUUUCUUGUACACAAAUAUAUGACGUGACGAUUGAUUCAUCCAGCAUGCUAUUUUAAUAGAGGGUAUAAAAGUAACAGUAAAGACGCUACAUGUACACAUAUUUAUAGAUAAAAAUCUUAUUCUUCUUUCAUCUUAAAAAUUACAAAAAUAAUAAUUAGUAUAAAAAAAUUUGAUAAAACUAGUGAGAGGAUGUACGACGGAUGUAGGUCAUUUGAAUGAGUGGAAUACAAGUUUUACGCCUAGCAUGUAGGUAGGUAUACAUUACGAGUAAGGCCCCGUUUGGAUAUUUUAUGAAACAUAGUAUAGUUAAAUUAUACAAUAUGUAUAGAAAAUUUAUUCUGUUGAGUGUUUGGGAGCCUAAAAAAAGCACCGAUUUUUUAGAGUAUAGUUACACUAUAUUCUAAAAAAUAGAGUAAAAUGAUAAUCCACUCUAAGCCAAUGAAAAAAUUUUCAUCAUUCUUGAACUCCAUUCUCUUCUACUUCUCCUUACAUCAAAUUUUAAAUUUUAAUAUAAGAUAUUUGAUUUUAAAUUUUUAAAUUUUUAAUUUUUGAAAUUUGCCAGUAGGUCCUUAAAUUCCUAUCCAUUCUAAAAGAAUCCCGUAACCUCGCAUGCGCGGAGAGGCCAAACACUUUCAAUUUUUUUCACAUAUUCCAGAAAGAGACGCAGGGGUGUAAAAUUUAUAUCCUAUAUAAAAUGUAUAUGUAGUAGCAUUUUUUUUUUUUUUUUCCCUGGGAUUUUGACCCAGGAUUUUUGAGAGGCACCGUGCUAGAGGUGAUUUGGUAGGUGGAAUGUUCUUUUGAAACCAACUGCUUUCAAAUGUCUAUUUCGUCGACAUUCUUUUCUCUGCUUUUUUUUUUUUUUUUUUUUUUUUUAACUACAGUUAAAUUGUUCCAGUAAACAUUAGAUAAUAUAAUUAUCAUCGAUCUACUAAGAGUUCACAUACGAAUAAUUAAUAAGAGAGUAACGAUAAGUUAAUAUAUAUGAGUGAGUUCAAACCAAACCGAACAAACUCAAGUUUUUAGAUAAUAUAUAAUACAUAUUUUGCCCGAUAAGCCAUAUUUUUGGACAUAUAGAUCUGAAUUAAGUCAAAAUUUUCUAACAUUCAUCUAAACCAUUAAACUUUUAAUCGACUCAUUAUGAUUUUCUCCAUUAUACUUUUUUAUCGCACCUAAACACAAUUUACCUACCAUCUUAGUUUGUAUUAUUACAAAAAUAUAAUUAAUUUUCUUUCCUUACACUCCCAGUUGCCAAGGACCACCAAACAGUUACCAUUUUGCACAAAAAAACAAAAGCACCCACCUCUGAUUAAAUUCAACAUUAGGAGGCCAAAGAAUCCAUAUUCUAUGAAUAUGAUAUGUUAUUAAUUUAUUUAAUAAGGUUACAAAAUUUUCCUAUCAAAUACAUAGGCUUAUGAUGAGACACCUAAGCAGUGAGAUAAAAGGUUAGAGGGGACAAAUUGCAUACUCUUUCUUUCAACGGUCCUUUUGGGUGAGAAUGGCUCGAAAAGAAGCUCAGAAAAAAUUUUAGAUGCCCCUUGUGAUUUAGUAUUUUCUUGGUUUAGUAUUCUAAAGUGUAAAAUGUAUUAUUUUAGAACUCUAUAAUUUUAUUUUUCUUUAAUAUGGCUACUGUGAAAACAUGUAACAAAAAACUUCAGAUGCCCCUUAUAGUUUAUUAAUUUUUUAUUAUAGUAUCAUAUGAUAUUAACUUUAUCACUAAUUUAUGAAGAAAUUAACCACCGAACGGGUAAUAGAAAAAGAAAAAAAAAAUUAUAAAAUAUUAAAGUGAUUUACUUUUAAAUUAUAAAAUACUAAAGUAAAAUGAACGCAACAUCAGCGGGGUGUUUAAAGUUUCCCCAAAAAGGGCUUGGACAACUAGAUAAAGCUAAAAAGCAGUAAGUAGGUAGGUAGGUAAGUGGACAUGCACCAGCCAUUAUAUUAAUUAUUAUAAUUAUAAUGACACCUUAAACAAGCAACUUUGGCAUGCUCUUUUGUUAUAAUAAAAAAUGCUUCCUUAAGAUAGUGAGCAAAAAAUAAAAGUAUAUAAAAUAAUUUAUUUGAAUUAUGAAUUAUUUUUAUUUAUCUACCUAAUUUUUCAAUAUUUUAUUUUUGAAUAUUUUAACUUCCCAUAACUUUGGCCUAAGGCCAAACUUGUGAGUUGCCACUAUCUUUACAAUGGUGUACUAUAUUCACCAUCUAUAUUUUUUUUUCCAUAAAAUAAGAUAAAUUAUCUCGAAUGCAUUAUCUUAAUAAAUAAAUCAAAAUUACAAAUUUUCAUUUUCUCCAGUUGCUACGGCCUGGCCCAAAAUUUGACCGAGCCCAACAAAAUUAAUAGGCCGAGUUGGGCCUUUGACGAACAAAUUUAAUGGGCCCAAGCCCGUUUAAUUUCUCAGCUUUAAAAAUCGCACCAGGGCGCACCACUUGGGCCUGAGGGGAAUUAUAGAAUGGGCCCAAAAAAGCCUAAAAAGUCGAAAAAGCCCUUGUGCGGGCCUAGGGCAUAUCGUCGUUGUAAUUAGGGUUUUGAGAGAGAGAGGGAUAGAGGAGGUGAAGAAGAAGAAGAGGAGGUGGUCGCCAUGGGGACGAGGGAGGUGUACGAGGAGAAGCUCCGCACGGGGAAUCUGUACCAUGACCCCACCAUUAAACCCGGCCUCGGCUCCCCUCGUUGCCCCCGAUGCCUCUCCCUCGUUAACCCUAAUUCCGUACCUCUCCAUCCCUUCGAUUUCGAUCCAUAUGUGGCGUCGAAAUCGUAUCUUUUUUACCUCUGAAUUUGUUCUUGCACUAUAUAUGAUUUCUUUUUUGCGUUUUUUUUCGAUUUCGCAGGGAGAAGGUGAGUGGGCGAUCACUUCUGUUUUGCACGAUGCGGCUGCGGUGGUAUGGAAAAACAAAAAAAACCCUUUUUUAUAUAAUUCUUUAGUGUUGUAGCAAUUUGGUUGUAACUGAGAUUGGAUUUCUAAUUAAAUUAUUUUGUAGGCCGGUUCGGGGGCCGGUGCACUGCUUAGCGCAGUUCAUGGAUUCAAUACGGGUAUAUUGUGUUAAAUUUUGUAGCUUUGAAUUAUAAUCGUGUUGAAUAAUUUGAGACUCAAAUUUUUUUAAAAAAAAAUUUCUGUGGUUAUUGAUGAUUUUGGGACAGGAAUUCCGUUUAUUCAGAAACAUGUGAGGGGUUCCAAGUGGAUGCACUUGCUUAUUGGGGUAACAAUUUCAAACUUUUUGCACAUGAAAACUAGAUUAUUCUGGUAUUUGAUAAAUUGUUUAGAGAAACAUUGCAUCACGCUGAUGUGUUUUGCGUGUAUCUAGCUAGUUGUUCAUGUAGGAGCUUUUUUUAAUGUUAUGUCAAGGCUAAUCUCAGAACUGAGAAUACCCUAACGGAAAAAACUACUUGAAAUCACAGUGAGUUUUUUUUUUUUUUUUUUUUUUUUUUUUCUCCUCUGGGAUACUUGAGUGUUCAGGAGGAAUAGAUUUGUCAUGCAUUGUAGUUUUCAGUUGUGAAAAUGCAUUAAUUAUGUUAUUUUGCACUGAUUUUCAUAGUACAUAAUGUGUUAUGGAUUGUAGUAUUCGACUGUGAAAAUGCAUUAUUUAUUUUGUUAUGCAUUGAUUUGCAUAGUACAUAAUGGGCAUUAAUCCCUGACAAGACUAGUCUCUUGAUACUGUGCUGAAUUGCUUUGCUCAUAAUAUCUAGUGGUGUAUGAGUUUUUUUUUUUUUUUUUUUUUUUUUUUUUUAACUUCAUUGAUCAAAAUGAAGCCAUUAAUUCGUUUGUUUAUAGCGGCAAACUUUUCCCGAGAACCCUUCUUAGGAUUCUUCAGUUAGUUCCUUGAAAGUAGUAUGCUUUGUACCAUUUGCCAUUUAGGUUUGUUUGGUUAGUAUCUAGCACCCAGAAUGUUUGAAUUUUCAGGACCUGGUUGAUUACUAAUUCUUGGAACUUUCAGACUUUAUUUGGUUGAUGCAGUUAGGCUUUGCAAACUAUUCUUUACUUUGGUGACUUAUGAGUCCAAUGUCAUACAAAGUGGAGAGGAUUGUAUGUGAUGUCAUGGGCAAGGCUCUUUAGCCAUAAACUCCUGCUAUUUGACACAUUGAUUUUCCGAAAUCUCUGCCAUCUAGUCUAGGUCCUAUUUUGUGGGCUUUGUUUGGCAAGAAGCAUCCAGUAGUAACGUUUUUCAGUUCUCUUUUCGUUUAAAUUGGAGGCUGACCUUCGUUAAUAAGAAUGAAGAAGCCUGUCCUCCGGUGAAUUAGAUUGCAUAGAAUUUGAGUUUGGGAGAUCCACAGUUACGAGCUAGCAAAUAAGGCCUUGAACAUUUUGAAUUGACUGGGAAUCUGAGAUGGACGUUUUGAAUGGACUGCGAAUCUGAGAUGAGCUUUUGGACUAUGAGAUUAAAGGUUUCAUUUUGCCCCUUCUGCUUGUGGUUUCGUAUGGAACAUACCUGUUGGAAAUUUAGUUUAAAAGCUUUUAGGGCUUCUCAAACUGCUGUUGUUGAACAACACUUGUGUCGAACCUCCUCAUUUCUUGCUGGUGUUUGUGCGUAGUUAUGGAAGUUAAAAGCUGCUUUUCUACCAUCAUGUACUGACUGAUUUUUUUUUUCUUUUUGAUAUAUAAUUAACUGCCCCCCCCCUUUUUCUACAGCUUCCUCCUCUUCUUUUGUACUCUGGUGCUAGUGCUGCAUUUGGAGGUAAUGUUCUCCCUCUUUAUCUGCAAAGUAUUAUUUAUAUCUGUUUCAACAACCUUUCAUUUUUCUAUUACACUGUUUGGAGAUCAGUACCUAAUAAAAUUAUUUUUUGUUUGGAAAAGGAAAGAUAUUUACUUAGAUUUUGGUCGAGAAAUUAGUUCGAAAAUGUACUUACUAAGAAUAGAGAACUUUAUAUGUUGAGUUUAGUAGAUCUGAUCAAAUAGAGCAUGAUGUGAAAUUUAGACAGUUUUGUGACAAAGGUAGCAAUGCUAUGUAUCUUUUCGAGCUUACCAUGGUGAUGAAAAAAGGUUUUUUUGUCAUCUUCGUUAUCAUUGGGUUGAAAGUAUCCAGUUAAUUUUCCAAAUUUGAGCAUAAGAAUUAACCCCAUGUCGGAACAAAAGUUUCAUUUGUUGUAUUUUAACAUGAUUGUUUUACAUCUUUUCUAAAUCAUUGAUAAAAAAAUCUGUACAUAUCAUUGGUUGCAAAGGACCUAAUGGAUGCACUUCUUAGACCAAGAUCAAUACUGGUGCUAACUUAUUCAUUUUCUUACGACUUCUAUGAGCUUAUUGUUUUUUAGUGAACUCUGAUGGGGAUACAAUUGUUUGUUGCAGCCUACGUUGUUCCAAAAUUUACCCAGCUCACCGUGACGUCCUAUUAUGCAGCAUCAAGUGCCUCACACUAUGCAAUAUCACAGAUCACCCGUUCCAUUGAAGAGGCUCAUUCAUCUCGUAGUCUUCAAGAUAAACCCAGAUGAGAUAUGCCAUUCAUAUCAGGUCAACAGGUUGUCCUUGUAUAUUUCUACUUUUUACUAUGAAAAAAGUUUUCAGUUGCAUGAUGUACAGGACUCUUACAUUUUUCUUUCUUUUAUAUGCUGCUACUAGUAUGAAGUUUUCCGUACUCCCUGGUAUUUGCCUGAUGUUACUGUUAAUGAUAUUUGUAAGUUUCUUAUUAAUUAAUUUUUAGAGAGAAGUAAUUAUGCACCAGAUUUCAGAGUUGCUACUUUAUAUAUAUAUAUAUAUAUAUCUGUCGAAAUGGUAGAAUUUAAUUAUUGCUUGAUGGGCAUGCUAUGGCUUUCUUAUAAAGUGCAAUUACAUCUGAAAGUUGUUGUUGGAUUAAUUAGAAGGAUGAGAAUAUCUGGCCGAUUUGAGGGAUGAGAGUUGGGGGAGGAAAGGUAAAUAAUGAGAGCAGUAGGGGCGAAUUUGAUAACUUGAUGUACUUGGAGCCUAGGGUCAAGGUGUUUAAUUAGUUUCAUGUUGAUGAUGGUAAGUCGUGGGAUUUUGCUUUUGUCUUUCGAAAAGAGAAAAGGCUUAUAAUAGUUGGUCGGUCUUUCAGCUAGAAUUUAGUAAUGAUUAUUGAUGUAUUUACUGGGUAAUAAAAAUAGUGGAAUCUAGAAUGUGUACUCCUUUUGUUUUGCCCCGUUUUUGUUUAAGAGCCCAGGUCAAGGAGGUUUUGCUUCAAGGAUUGAGUGUAAGGGAGGAGAAUGGUAUGCUAAUUUUAGCAGCAGGGUGAUCACAAUUUUUUGUUUUUGUUGCAGAUGUUGUAUCAGAGGACUUUUUCAUAUUGCUUCCACGGAGACUUCUUGGUAGGAAUUGACUAUCAGAAAGAGCCCAUCAAAUUGGGAUUGCGUGAUAGUAGUGGCAAUGUAGUGGUGAAGGUAACAAGUAUCUUUGAUUGUAGAACAGAAACUUGCUAAUCUUUCCAUUUUAUUGAUGUGAUCAACAAAAAAAGCUGCUUAACUUCCGGUGAGUUGCAUAGGAUUGAAAAAGAAAGGGACGUUUUGAAGGAUAAGUGACUUUCUUUAGGACAGAGAGAUACUGAAUGGUAUUUGAGUUAUUUGUGAUUGCUUGAUGAUAUACCAACUAUUUCUAAUUGUUAGGUUGCUGGGAAGUUGUUCAGCAAAGAAAAGUAAUGUUUGGGUUUGUGCGAUAGAAGUUUAGGGGAUAAUCGUAGUCUUCUUGGUUAAGUGAUUCUAGAUUGCUUUCAUGUUCCAUUUUCUAUACAGUAUGAUUCAUAAUGUAAGGCAGAGAAACUAUGCUCUUAAGAAUAGAAUGUUGUCUACUGGGAGGACCAAAGUAGUACCAAGCCCAAUUUUAGAUCUUGCGGACGUCAUAAUUUUAAACAUGAAAGCAAGUUUAGGUCGGGUGAAUGUGGGAAUCUUACUUGCUCCACUGGUCUACAUGGCAGAAAAUUUUGGUAGCUUAAAAGAAAGGAUGGAAGUUGCAGAGUAGGCUUAUAAUUUACGCGUUUCGUGAAUGCAAACCUUGGCUGAACUCUUAUCAGAUUAUUCUUGGGUGCUUUUUGGUUGUUGUUUGCUUUUUUACUUUUGUUUCUCUUUCACUUCUUUAAGGUUGUAUGUACUUUGCGGUUGGUCUCUAUAUUUUUCUUCGUUCCCUUUGUUGCAUAUUGUAAGAGAAAAUAUAAAAACAAAUGGUACCCUUUCCUAUUGAAAGGAGAAGUUUGCUUGCAAACCCCAGCUAUCUGAAUGUGCUUUUAUCUUGAAGAACUGAAGGGGGGAAGAAUGAAUAAUGAAUGCCAUGAGCAAUGCCCAACUCUGACCUUAUUUUGAUGGUUAGUACUUGCAAUUGUGCAUCUUCAGUACAAUUUUCCAGAAUUUUAUCUUCUGUGAACACUGAAAUUACAGUUAGAAUUGUUCUUCCAGUUCACCGUAUAGUCCCGAUCAAACCAUUUUUUUAGAUUGUUCAGGUCAGGUUUAAAGUAACCUGGCCGAAUAUGAGUGCUUGUAUGGCUAGUCCUUGGGGACCUGUUUGAUCGUCUGAACAAGUUAUCUAGCAACAAUUUGUUAUUAUACAGAUUUUUUUUUUUUUUCUCUUUUCUAUUGCAACCUAUAAAUUUGUGCAAGAUUCUGAUGGUCCUGAUUUUUCAGAAUAAUGUAUGCCACCUAAGAGGCGAUGUAUCUUAUUCUUAUGAAAUGAUUUAUACACAUCUAGUCGUACUGUUCAUCUGUGUCAGUUACUGCAUGGUUUCCGAGUAUGGUGUGACACCCCAAUAGUCUCACAUCGGAUGGGAAAAGGAUUGUCAUUGAGUUUAUAACAGACUUAGACACUAGUAAUAAUAACUGGGCUUAAGCAUUUUGGGCCGGUGGUUGGGCCCAACGAGUUAUUGUUGCUAGUGGGCUGGGUCGUUACAUUUGGUAUCAGAGUCGGUUCACCAGUUGGACAUAUGUGGCGAGUCUCGGCUGAGCCAGGGUUUGUAUGACGGGCUAGCGAGACGAGUCUCACAUUGCCUGGUGUUUUUGGGCUGUGUGUGUGAUUGGACUGACGAGGACGUCAGGGCCUUAACGGAUGGAGUCUGUGACACUCCAAUAUCUCACAUCGGAUGGGAAAAGGAUUGUCAUUGGGUUUAUAACAGACUUAGACACUAGUAAUAAUAACUGGGCUUAAGUAUUUUUGGGCCGGUGGUUUGGGCCCAACGAGUUAUUAUUGCUAGCCGGUCGGAUCGUCACAGAUAGUAUCAGAGCCAAUUACCAGCCGGAAGUGUGAGAUGAGUCUCGGCUGAGCCAGGGUCUGGAUGACGGGCUAGCGAGACGAGUUUCACAUCGCCUGGUAUUUGUGAGUCUGAGCCUGACGAGGACGUCAGGGCUUAAAGGAGGGGAGGUUGUGAGACCCCAGAUAGUCCUAUAUAUAAGAUAUAAUAGGGCUAAACUCUUAACCCGGCUUAAGCAUUUUGGAUGGUGGCUAGACCUAAGAGGUUAAGAGAGUUAAGCGUGCUAGGACGGCAGUAGUCCUAGGAUGGGUGACCCCUGGAAAGUCGGGGCGUCACAUAUGGAAAGAGUGAUCUGUCGAAAAAGAGGUUAAUCAUAUAUCCAAAUAGGUUGUUAAUGUUUUUUUAGCUCGACUGAUGCUUCUCCAGUAGUGCUAUUCUGGGUGAGGCAAUGGUCCCAGGCAUGAUAGGAAAUGAUGCUCUCGCUUAUUAUGAGAGUGCUCUCUCUCCGUCCCCUCUGAGCUCCUGCUGCAGAAGAGCCGUGCUAGCUGUUCACAGCGAGCAGAGCAGCCCCAGAAAUAAUGGCAAGAAACAAGCCAACACCGAACCUCAGACGGACCAUUAUUAGCCCUCCUUUCCUAAGCUGGUCCCUCAAUGGCUCUUUGAUUAGAUAUGCAAAUUUAAGAUGUUGGCAGGGCUCUAUUUCUGGAGUCACCGCCCCUGCAGCUCGCCUUUAAGAUCUGGUCCUGUUUUGAAGCCAUCUCUGGCCAGUGGUCCUUCCCCAUCUCCUCUUAGGUUUUUCAUCACAUUGCAAAAAAGAGAUGAUUUGUUGAUUUUACCCCCCGUUUAGAGUCUGGAAGGUUCUUUCGUAGCGUACGAAGUGUCGUCUAAAUACUGCUCUUUUGGUUUUAGACCUCAGAAUCUCAUUUUAGCUUCCUGUUUAAGCAGAAGGUCAAUAUUUCUAUUUACCAAACACUGAGGUAAAAAUAAAAGCAGACACUAAGUGCCAUCAAUCAUAAGAAUGGUGGGAUCCGUCUUCGGUUGGUACCGCGUUGCUGCGCUUCGGCUAUUUUUGCAGUCUAGAAUGUCGAUAUAUUGAGGCUUUUAGGUGUACAAGUGCAACCUAAUAUAAGAUGGAUUUUGCCAUUCAAUUUGAUCUGAGUUUGACAUUAAUUGCUACCUAAUUGUGCAGAAAAGUCACAUGUUAUCUGCAUCUUAAUUGGUGAUAAGAUAAGUUCUGCUGUCGCUGAGCGUUGAAAUUAAUUGAUCUUACAUUGCCAUUGCAUUAGUCUAGUUGAUCGAUAUGGACGCGUUAAUUAAAGAUGCGGUUGGGCUCGACCGGUCCGACGGCGGCCCAUGAAAGCAACUGCUGAAUUUCAUCUGAAUUGGUUCCCAGUAAGUAAUGGUGUGUGGUCAAGAAACGCUGCCAUGUUUUGGUUGCCAGAACAAGCAGCAGCAGCUUUCACCUAUUCAUUGCAUUAUGCUCGGUCAUGUUACAUUAAUAGGGAAUAAAAGUCUCCUUUGGCUCAUAUACCAAUUGCAGCAGUAGUUACUCUGCCAAUUCUCUUGUUUUCUCAAUUGAUUUAGACUCAUUCCAUCUUUCUUUAGAAACCAAGUAGGUUUUCCAGCUAGUGUUCUAUCAGGGGCCCCACUUCACACAUUGCAAGAAAAGGGAGAAAACAAUGUUUUGGGAAUACAAUGCAAUGAAAAGAGAGAGAGAGAGAGAGAGAGAGAGAGAGAGAGAGAGAGAGAGAGAGGAAACACUUGGGGAGGAGAGAGAACUUUUUGUUUGGGACCACUUUUUGGGGUGAUGCUCAAAGAUGGUGGUGGUUUAGGAAGGCAAUCAACAAAGGCCUAACAAGUGCAUGGGCUUUCGCUUUCUCUUCCUUUCUAUAUGGGGCCUAUCCUAACAGCACAAAGGAACCACUAGUAGAAACAUUUGUUUGUAUGUGCUCUGUGCAUGAUGACGUUACCAAAAAAAGAAAAUGAAGCACCAAGAAUGUCAAAAUUUAGGUUUUUUCCUCUUAACCAAAUUAAAUUUGUUGUUGAUCAGAUGCCAGUCCAGUUGAAGUUCUUUCGGAUCUGUGAGGCAGUAGUUUUCAUUCUCUGUAGCGGUUUAAAUUUCAUCUGCUAGCUCUUCUGUUAAUACCGGGUGCAUGGUGUGUUUGAGCCCAGCUGCGCUAGUUAUUAGCGGGGGGUGUUGAUAAAAUUAUUAUUGUCUUCUUCUUCGCAAGACAAGUCUAUGAUAUAUUCGGUUUUCAUGAAUCCACAUUAGUUCCGAUGUUACUCUAGGAAUACGGAGAGAACUUUUGGUAGUUGAUGCAUCAUAUCGACGUCGCCAAGCGACGGAGGGGGACCAUAUGUAAGGAAGUGAAAUUAUGAAGGAGGCAUUAUUCAUGUGAAUGUCUCCAACCUUCACCUACCAGAGUUAGGGAGUGGUAAUGACCUUUGAUGUCGAACUAUGCGGCGUGGGAGGAUCACUAUCCUUUCGGUUCCCUUUCAAUGGUAACAUCUCAAGUCUCCUCAUCGCUUUCAUCUCCAUUCCGCUUGACGUAGAAAUGGCUUCUUCUUGCAAUGGUAGAUGAUCAAACAUAGGCAACAUCUUAAUGGUGAUAGGAACCUUCAUGUCUCUACUCAAAGCACAAUGUGAAUGAGUUGGAUGCAUUGAGUGAACCCUGCAUUUACCUAAACAAGUUAGUACUUCGAAUUUAAGUAAAAACCAACCCCAGUGUGGUACCAGUAUGGGAGAGUACACUGUGCCUAAUUAAAUAAACAUUGUCCUUGUGCCCUCAGUGAGAGGUUGGAUUGUACCUCACAUUUACCAGAUAGUAAUCUGCUUAAGGAGCAAUUUUUUCUUUUCUUUUCCAGAAUCAGGAGCUGGACCCCCCCUACAUUUCCACACCGGAAUUAAGUUCUCCAACGCCGGAAUCAAAACCCUGUCUCUCUCUCUCUCUCUCUCUCUAUCUCUCUUCUUCCGCCUUUUUGGUUUGAGGAACUUCCAAUUGAAUUCAAAGUGAAUUCUUCUGAACCAGCUAGUAUGAGAAUUGCACUUCUGCCCAGAUAAGGCUCCAAGAUAGAGAGUUGCUUCAUAAAUUACCGACUGUAAACACAUUUAACUGCAGCGCACAAAGCAUGACACCGAAAUCCUCAUGAGCAGUUUUGAACAGAUCAAAUUAAUAGUAAUCAGACUGACAUGAUGCGCAUCUGAACUUUGUCAGAUACUACAAUACAUUUUAUUACUUCAUAGUUCAACAUUUCAUUGCGUUUUACCUAUUAGUUAAUGCUGAUUAGUACUAGCAAAUGAAAUUUCUUUUUCAAUAUAUAUAUAUGUAUAUAUAUAUAUAUAUACUAGUACCUAAAGCAACACUAACUGAUCAGUGUAGUGUUAAAUAAAAGAAUUUUGUACCACCCUAUCAUUUGAUUAUAAUCUUACUGGUACCACCUUCAACAUUAUCUUGUUUUAAAUAACCUCUAACAUGCUCCCAUGUGUGCUUCCCACUAAAGAGGAAUAUAAUUAAGAAUCAAACAUAGUUCAAUCAAAGCAAUAACACCAAAAUUAAAGCUGAGUUACUUUGGCUGUGUGUCCUAGCUAUGUAGUGGUCCUAAGCUCUCACCCCAAUGCCCAUGAUCUCUUCUGGGCCCUGAGAGGGGAACAAUCAAUUCUUUGCGGACAGAGGCGUCGUGCAUCGGUGGCAUGAGUACAGCGCUGCAGCGGCUGGGCAUCGAUCAGAGAUGGAGCUGGUUCGGUGGUCUCUGGUUCAAUUCGAUCUCAUCGAUAUUGGUUGAUUUGCGGCCUACGCCUCCUCCAUAACUUGUUCAUUUCCUGAUAACAUGUCAGGUCGUGGAGACCACGUCGCCAAGUUUCAUAAUUGAUGUUUCUUUCUUUCUUUCUUUCUUUCUUUCUUUCUUUUUUUUCUUUAUACUGUAAUACGCAUGGUGAUUUUGUACGCAAAAAUUUUGUUUAAAAAAAAAAAAAAAAAAAUCUUUGUGCGUACCAGCAAAAUGAAAUGAAAUAAAGAAGAGAAAUGUAAUUACAUGGAUUUCUUUUUUUCUUUUUUCCUUUUUAGUCACAGUAAAUUUUUGAGUCUUAUGGGAGGAUCUAGUUUCAAUCAUAAGCAUAAUUGAUGAUUGUGAUUGGUACUCUAAGCAAGCAAUGAUAAGGUCUCUCUAAUCAUGAAGCUUAUGUAACAAUAUACACAUUUUUUUUUUCUUUUUUUUUUUUAGUGCAUGAACACUAUUCUUUUAAUUGAGCUCUCCUUUGGAUGAGCUUAACAAUUAUUAGACAAAGUGUCAACAUCUCUCUUCUCCCUCCACUCAUUAAAUCUUAGAUUUUUCUUUCCCCCUCUAAAUCUCAAUGUGAACUCCUCAUUGGUGCGCUAAGUGGGCUUUAUGAUAAAUAAAACUUAAUAAUAAAAGGUGAUUAAGUUGGGGAUUAAACUACAUGGAGAUAAUCACUCCCCCACAACUUUAUCCCAUAUCUUUUUGUUGGCUUAAGGAAAAAGGUGAUACUAGAUAAUAAUAUUACAACAAAAAAGGGAUGGAUCCAAUGAUCCAAUCUACACCAACAUGUUUAAUUACAGGCACCAAGAUGCCUUGCUCUCUAUCUCUCUCCCACUCCUCCUUGUGCACUGAUAGCCCAGCAUGUGAAAAGAACCCCCAACAUUCCCCAUCUUUCCCUCCUACCCAAUAAGAAACUCCAUAAAAUCUACUCUAAAAUAAUAUAUUAAAAUAUAUCUACUCAUUUUGGUGACUUCACCUAGCUAGAUGCUCCUCUUUUUUUUUCUUUUUUUUUUCCUUUUUUUCAUUUUAUUUUAUGUUUUUUUUUUCCUGCUUUGUGGUCCUGAGAUUAUAAGAGUUCUAACACUCUCCGACAACACUAUGACCCCAUGCCUUGAGAAGACCACCAAGAGGCCUUUGGGAGGCAAAGCAGGGGCCUAUCCACACUGACAUUGGUAUGUGUAACAUGAAGGGAACCAUCACACUCAAAUGCUCAAAGCAUGUAUCAUAUAUGAUAUUGAAACCUCUCUCUCUCUCUCUAGAUGUUCUUUAUAGUGUCAACAUGUGUCUUGCAUUAGUAAACUAAUAGUUGUGUAGUUUUGCUGGAGCUCAUAGUGCUUUGUUUUUGGCUUAUGCUUCUAUUUUUAGCAGUAAUUAUUUUUAACAAUUUUUUUUUUCUGCUUGGCAAAUACAUUAGUUUGAUUUUUCUAUUGAAAUGGAAAACCUAUGUAUUAUGGACACACUUACUUUUUUUUUAUACAUAUAUAAUGUAAGAUAAUAAAUAUUUUAAUUUUUUGAUAAAUAAAUAUAAAAUUUUUUGGACAAUAUAAAUAAUUAUAUAUAACGGAUAAUUUUUUUAAAAAAAUAUAUGAACUAUUAAUCAGAAUUUUAUUAACUUUAAUAUGCAUGAGAAAUAUAACAAUAUUUUAACAAAAUUAAUAUUUUAUAUAUAAUAAAUAUAUAUUUUAUUAUAUUAAUAAUAUUUUAUUUUAUUAGUAGUAUCCAUAUCGUAUCCGUAUUCUAAUUUUUUGAAAGUUGUCGUGUUCAAAACAUGUCGUGCCCCAUAUUUUGUGUCGGUGUAUGUGACGUCUAGUGGAAAAUUAAAUAGAGAUUCUUAGCCUGCGAUAAAGGACUCCAACUUAGAGCUACAAAUUUAAUUUGCUUAAAAAAUUUCUGUAUGAUGCUUCUUUUAAUAGCUUUGCUUUAUUAAUCCUGUAUCAAAAUCACGACCUGCAUGCGAUAAUAGAGCCACAUAUACUGGCCCUUAAUUGCUGCAACCUUUUGGAGCUGUGAUUUUUGAAAAGGCCCUCGUGGUUUUCUUUUAAUUCAAAUAUGAAAUAGGUUGGCGCUGAAGCUUCAAGUUCAAAGUGUUACCAAAUAAUUCGAUCUAAUAAAAGAGUGAGGCUACUAUGCUAUCGGAAGCACGGAGCCUUCCGUGCUUUCAGCUCGUUUUCGAUGUUGCGACUUUCGAAUCGUCGAUCGGCUCCGUUAAACUUGAUCUAGAGUAUUUGGAGUACCUAGAAAAUAAAUUUUAUUAUUUUUCGAUACCAUUUGCCUAGUGAUCGAAUGGGCUCAAAAUCAACAAAUUUCAAUGGCCGUAGUGAGCCGUUUGCAAAUUUAACGGUGUAGAAAUAUCCAAAUCACGUAAAAUUUUGAUAGAAAAUUUUUUAUGCUAUAUAAAACAAGAUCAAUAUCUUUGAUUUAAAAUUUUAAUGUCAUAUUAUUACAUUUUGUAAGAUUUUUAUUUUCAGCCGUUGAUUUUGAGCCCCUUCGUUCACUAGGCAAAUGAUAUCGUAAAAUCAUAAAAUUUAUUUUCUAGGUACUUCAAAUACUCUAGAUCAAGUUUAACGGAGCCAAUCGACGAUUCAAAAGUCGCAACAUCGAAAAUGAGCUGGAAGCACGGAAGGCUCCGUGCUUGCGAUAGCAUAGUAGCCUCACUCCUAAUAAAAAAUGAUUUCAGAAUAGUCUUAACAUCCGCACUCAAGUGUGUGCCUUUUUUUUUUUAAUUUAAGACAAAAAUAACAAGCUACCCAUUUUAUUCAUUAAAAAAAUAAACUUAGUUACAACACUGAGACAAAUUGAAAAGAAAGGUAUGAAAGAAAUAAAAGGACAAAAAAAAAAAAAAGCAAAAAAUAGUAUCUAAUUAACUAAUUAAUCAUCCACCGAAUCACCUAGCUUUACAGAAUUUUUUCCUCUGCCUCCCUAAACUCCUCAUCUUUUUUACAAUAAGCGUCCAAUCUGAACUAGAUGUCUAAAAUUUAUGUUAUUUCUUUCCGGUCAGAUUGGCAACCAACUUGCCGUUAAAGUGCUCAGUCACAUUGUGACGGACUCGGAAGGCCCCAUCAUCCUAAUCAGUUCACAAAAAAGGUUUUGACGUUCGUCCCACUUGUUUGUUCGAACCUGUCAUCUAGGAACAUAUUAGCAAGAAUCCACAAAAUAAGCAUCUCGUGAGAAGGUGAUCGGUUGUCUCAGCCUCGUCUCCAUAUAGUACACAUAUCUGAUCUCCCAACCGGCAUCUCCUAAAAAGGUUGUCUGCUGUAAGGAUACUCUUCUUAAAAACAAGCCAAGUGAACCGUAUUACAUGAAAGCGAUAAGUGAGCUAAAGGAAUUGGAAAGGAUGAGUAUUGAAUUCAUUGAACAGUGAAUGUGAAGAAUUGAUUCUAUCCAAAAAAUUGAUUUGAUAGGAAGCGGAAUAGAAAUUGUCAGAUCGUAAACUUCUUUUUUGAGAGAUAGGUAGCACGCUACCUAAUUCGUUUAUUUCAUUUAGAAAUAAAUUUAGUUAGAAAUGUGAAUCAAGUAGGAUUCAAAUUUGGGUCUCGGGUACCAACCACCAAACCCUUACCACUUACUCUAGGGACAGUCGGUGUCAGAUCGUAAACUUCAAAACUUAAACUUUUAUUCUAGGGACCUUUUGGCGGAAAGAAAUCAUGGCCAUACACAUGGCGCGAUCUGGUUCGCCUGCCAAUAGGUACCACUCAAUGCGCAGAUAAGGUUGGAUCUGACUUUGGCUCAGGUGCGGACUGAAGAGGAAACAAUCCAAUUGGGUUCAAGCUUGAGAAAAGGCCUUAAGGUCUUCACGCACGCAGGAGAAAGACCUGACGCUUUGGCUUCUGAGCUUCGACGGCCGUUCGAACCAAAGUCACGGCGCCGGACCUGCAUAGAGAGUUAAUAAGUCCGCGCGGUGUAGGGAGUACGUUCGCCAGUGAGGACGAGCUAGUCUAGUGAUGAUUGGAGUAGUGUGAAGGGCGAUGUCAUCGGACCUGAAGGGUAGUAGAGAUUACGUUACGUCUACUCCUAGAUUACGUUAACACUACUGUUAGACUACAUUACGGUUAUUCCUACUCAAAUGUGAGCUGUUGAUAGGCUGGUGUCUGUGAUGUGAUCUUCGGGUCCCUUCUUUGUAGCUGUCUUCGUCUUUUAUAGACGAGUCAUUGCGAUCAUCGGAGUUUCCGAUGCUCCUUCGAUUCACGAAACUCCUUUCCUCAACUAUUCCCUAACUUCUCGCUCUCGAUUGAGCGUGUUUGACUUCUGAUCAGUACUUACUUCAAGUGAGCCCACCCUCCGUUCGCCGAAACGAGCGUGUUUGGGCACAAAACCAAAGCGUACACCGGAGCACUCUUUGGCAUAACUUCUUGCCAAAACCAUCUUCCGCUUCGAUGUCAACAGGACCCAAAAGCUCACUCUAGCUUUCUGUCUCACAAGCCAAAGCGCUAUAUUUUAUAUAUGUCUUUAUUCGAUCCGACAAAAAACAGAUCAUUGAAUUUUCAAAAGCAUAAACUUCGAACCUUGAACUUCUAUUUUAGGACGACCGAAUUAAAAACUUACUUAAGCUUUCUAUAUAGCUUGCGCGUAGUUAAUUAAGAAGCUCUAGAUUUUACGUUCAUCAUGAUUCUUACGGCCUUUUGCUUCUGAAAAACAAACGAAUGCUCCAGAAGCCAAGCCAAAUAGGCACUACAUACGCAGGGCGCACAGAGAUGGUUUGCACAAACUUCGUUCCCAUUAAUUUGGCAAUGGUCACUAAGAGGGUUGGGUUUGGGUCGAGAUGGUCCCCCUAAUCUUCCCAUAGUACUGCUCCGAGUGUGGCUUUUUAAGCUUUUAAUGGAGAGUUCAUGUGGGGACGCUUGCAUGAAUGAAGGGUUAAUGAUUAAAGGUCUAGGUUAUACUAGUGGAAUUAGUUUCUCUUUCCGAGGGACGCAUAAAAAUCAAUUUGGUUACUAUUUACUAACUAAAUUCAAGCACAUUAGAAAAAAAAUUAGAUCUAUAUAUGUACGCUUUAUUUCUUUUGAGAGAGAGAAAGAUAGUAUACUACCUGUUUUGUUUAUUAUUUUUAAAAAUAAACUUAGCUGGAGAUGUGAAUCGACUAGGAUUUAAAUUUGGGAUCUCGAAUACCAACUAUCAAGUCCUUUGCCACUUGCAUUAUAUACGCUUUAUUACUACUAUUUUUAUACAUGUAUUUUUAUUGAAUAUUCAAACUAUCUAGUGAUUGGAUUUGAUCAUAUUCGAUGAAUCAGACAUGUCAGCAAUCUAGUGAUUGGAUUUGAUCAUAUUCGAUGAAUCAGACAUGUCAGCAAUAAACUUACCUUUGUUAAUAUGACAUCUUAUUGAACUUAUAUAAAGUUUGGUAGUUGAAAUAUGAAACUUUAAGAAAUUAAAUAAGCUGGAAAUGGUCUUACAGAACAAAAUUUUUUUUUUUCUAGCUAUAAUGGUGAAAAGGGUAAUGUAUCAAUCAUUUUCCUGUUAUAGUUCGAAGAGUACACAGGUCUCCUUUGUUGGUCCCUUGUCAUAAUCAUUAAAUUAACUAUUUAAGCCUAAAAUCCAUAAAAAGACCACCAAUACGAGCACACAUAUUUGUCCCACCCCCUAAUAAUGCUCGAUUCUCAAAAUGGGAAAAAAAAAAAAAAGAAAAAGAAAAAACAAAAGAAACCCCAACACCCACCCACAAUUGACGCACACACUUUUACGCUCCCAACUAACAACUUCUCCCCACCGCAGCUCCAAAAUCCGGAGAAAUAAUUAAGCGCUUUUUCGAGCCGUAAAAAGGCUACGUACAUCUCUUUGGGAACGGCAAAGGGGAAUAGUUUUAACAUUUUCGCUCGUAGAAUCACGUAUGUAAAGAAAUAGUUUAAUAUUUUCGCUCAUUGAAUCACAUGUAUAAAAGAAUAAUUUAACAUUUUCGCUCAUAUUAUUUUGCUUAAUGAAUGAAGCAGGUCGCUCAUAGAAUCACAAAGAUUAGACCAAUUAUAUUACACAUACUGAGUAAAAAAAAGAUAGUAAAAGAUAACAAAUAAAAAUAUAGGUUACAAUAUGAAAAAUGUAGGAAUUGAAACUCCUGGAAUGGAAGGAGAAAUUAUUGCUUGCGUGGAGUGUAUAAUUACAUCUCAUGCACUGCACCUCCAAGCCCUAUGAUAGAGACUUUUAAAUUAUAAUCUAAUUCAUUAAAUAUAUGAAAAUACCUUUCUAUUUAUGUGAAUCAUGAAUAUAAAAUACAUGUAGAAAUAUUGAUUGGUAAAUAUAUAUUAAUACUCCCACUGAUGCAACUGGAAUAUAUUAACUUGUUAGAUGAUGAAGAUGAGAGGUUUUAGGAUUAGCUCUAAUAUAAUGUUAAAAAUAUGAAAUAAACAUUUAUCUCCAAUAGCUUAAGUUUUUGGAGAGUAAUAAUUAUUUCACAUAAUUUAACAUAGCGUUAGAGAAAGAGAUCGAGUUUCGGAGUUUGAAUCCUAUCAGGCUCCUAAUCUUAUUAAUUAAUUAGUUUCCUUCCAAUUAAUUUAAAUCUACAUUUUAAGAUAUUAAAAAUAAACAGUUGUUUAUCAUUCUUUAACAUUUUGGUAUAUAUCAUUUUUUAUAAAUCAAACACUGCAUUUUUUUUUUAACUAUUGGUUUUUGAAACUAUUUGAUGCUCACUUAAUAGGUAGUAUUUUAUAUAUAUAUAGACCUUUAAAUGAUGUAUAUAUAUCACGUCCGUCGAAUUAUAUUUUAAUUAUAAAAUAUUCAUUAUGAAAUAUUAAGGGUGGUGAAAAAAAAGUAUGUGCACACAAAGUUGCAUUUAAUAAUUUUAAAACAGAAAAGACUUAUAUCGCUCGAAUUAGUACAGCGUUAUUUAUUAAAUUAAAUUGACCUUAAUAGGAUCUUCGUGUCAACCUCAUCGUAAUAAAUAAACGUUGCAUAGAAGAACACUAAGCACUCAUCUAUAUAUGUAUUUUUCAGAAAAUGACACGUUACUUAUUUUUGUGAAAUUACAACUACGACUCUGUUCUAAUCAGCCACAGAGAAAANUAAGCACUCAUCUAUAUAUGUAUUUUUCAGAAAAUGACACGUUACUUAUUUUUGUGAAAUUACAACUACGACUCUGUUCUAAUCAGCCACAGAGAAAACGUUUUUUUUUUAUAUUAAAAAUAAUAAUAACCCGAGAGCCUCUCUUUAAGAAGUUGUUGACACUUACCUAUGUAUCCUAAGCAAUUAAUAGCCGUCCAUCUCCAUCUGAAUCAGGAAUCUUUAAUGAUGUUUGCGAAAUCUAAGUUGUGGGUCAUCUUUAGAAACUUUUAUCUGCAUGAUGUUACACACGUGAUAGCUGUGUACAACCGGUUGGGUCCUUGACCUUUAGUUGUAGCCUGCAUAGUGCGAAUUAAUGUUUCCACUUUAGGUGAUACAUCAUUUGUUCAAGGAAAGUGAUCUUAACAUAUCCAAUUUAGAUCGAUCAUAAUUAUUGAAUCUAGUAAAUUUAGCCAGAAAAUAAUAAUCAGAUUUAACGAAUCUUUAUAUAUAUAUAUAUAUAUAUAUAUAUAUUGGUAUCAAAAUAAGUUAUAAUAUAUUUUCCCAUAUAGAAUGAAUGUUUCUACUUUAGGGUGUUCACCAUUUGUCGAAGUAACAUCAAAUUAUUAAUUUAUCUGAUUUAGAUAGAUUUGAAUUAUUAAUGAAGUUUCUUACUGCCUCUAGAUGUUCACUUAUAUUCUUUUUAAGUUACUUGGAAAUAAUUUAAUGCUCAAUUUUGAUUUAACUCAGGCUUGAAGAUGUAAGUAUGAUGAUCUGAUUAGUUAAUUAGUAACUUGAUUAAUAAUUAAGGCACAGGAGUUCCAUUGUGGUAUGUAUCUUCGUAGUGGUUGCAUGGAGCUUUCCUGAAGAAGAAAAAGUAGUUGUGUGGAAGAAUCAAACGGGAACAGUGGCCUAUUGCUUGUAAUAUUAGGCCUUUAAUUUUACGGAAAAUAGUUCUUGCACUAAAUGCAAAUGUUUUUGUGAACGGAUGAAUAUGAGAGCUUAUUAAUGUCUUAUGGAUGCAUUUGGAUUGUUUUUGACUAUAACCAAUAAAAGAGUAUAUUAUAAGUUUGUUGUUGUUAUGAAAAAUAACAAGUUCGAUUGAAAAAGAUUUCCAUUGAGGUCAUAGAAUUGUUAGUGUGCAUUAGCAAGAAAUGAUGACCCCUUAAUUAGCUAGCUUGUUAGAUUAAACUAGAGCUUCGAUCUGCAUUAGUGUUUUAAUUUUUUUUUCUUUUUUUGAGUUGUUGAAGAAUAGUUUAUAUAUAUAUAUAUAUAUAUAUAUAUAUAGAGUAUGGCUACUAUACUCUUAUGAGUAUAUAGAGCUCUUCGUACUCAUAAGUUGUUUUCGAUAUUGGCAUUUUCGAAUCGACGAUGUCAUUUUCGAAUCGACGAUCCACACCAUUAAACAUGAUCUAGAGUAUUUAAAACUUCUAGAAAAUAAAUUUCGUAAUUUUUCGAAAUUAUUAUAAAGUCCAUCAAGUAGGUAUAAAAUGAACGGUUAAAAUCGAACGACAUCCUAAAAAUGAAUGAUCGGAUUCUUUAAUUUAAGAUCGGAAUUAUUGAUCUUUAUUUAGGUAGUGAAUAGAAUUUUCUAUCAAAAAUUCAAUCUAUUCCGAUUCUUUUUCACCGUUAAACUAGCAAAUAUCUCAUAUCGGCCGUUUAAAAUUGUCAAGUUUGUGAACUUUUGAUCGUAAAGUAAAUGAUAUCGAAAAAUUAUAAAAUUUGAUUUUUAAAAAUUUUAAAUGCUCUAGAUAAUAUUUAACGGUAUGGAUCGUCGAUUCGGAAUCUUUAUCAUCGAGAACAAUUUAUGAGUACGAAAGCAAUCAUACUCAUAAGAGUAUAGUAGCCGAACUAUAUAUAUAUAUAUAUAUAUAUAUAUAUAUAUAUAUAUAUAUAUAUAGGCUGGGGCUACUAUACUCAUAUGAAUNAUAUAUGAAGCUUUUCACUAAUUAUGCUAGAUAUUUGAUGGGCCAAGUUUGAGAUCGUUAUUGCAGCAAUUUUGAAAGCAUCCACAUACUCACAUCUUUGUUACAAUAUUUUCUGAUAAACUUUUAGAAGAUUACAACUCUUAGAUUGUUAUUGUAGCAAUAUUUUCUUCUUAUUGUUAUUGGUGUCAAAUUACAACUCUUUGUGACCAAAUGAUGGAAAAGUAAUAUAUGGAAAAGGAAUAUAAAUUCUGCUUUAAUGUUUAUAUAUAUAUAUAUAUAUAUAUAUAUAUAUAUAUAUAUAUAUAUAAUUUGUCAAAUAUCUCGUUAUUAUUUUUUUAAUUGUUUAAUGAACAAAAAAAUUAGAUUAACCUUUCAAAAUCACAGUAAUUUGCAGGGACCACCGUGGGCUAGAAUAUGUACCAUGAAGAAUAACGUUGACAUGAGAAGAAACUCGGUCAAAUUUAGCAAUGGUUAAAAAACAAUACACAACCAUUUCCAAUACACACCAUAUACCUUCCCUUCUCUCAGUAAUAAUCAUGGGGUACAUCCCCAGGACCACUUAUGCUCUACCCCUUUAAAGAACCCAACACCCAUAAAGAAUCCACCACACAAACCAAUCCUUGUUUAACACAAACACACACACACACACACACACACACAUAGAGAGAGAGAGAGAGAGAGAGAGAGAGAGAGAGAGAGAAGAAAAGAUGGACACAGAGACAGAGAUGGUUUGUGAUGGAGGUGAUGGUAUUCAUCAAGAAGCAGCUGCAGUGGAAACAGCACCAUGCAACAGCUUAUAACUAGUACUUACAAUUACUACUACUUUGUUUUAGGAAGCCAAAAGCCANCUUAUUUCUCUCUUCUCCUCUCUCCCCUAUAACUCUUACUUGUACUUGGUCGGCCUGCAGCUCAGAGUCCUCCGUUCUUUGCUCUCGGCAUAGAGAGGGGGUCGAGCCGCCAUGAGCGAGCCGGAGACGCACGACUUCAUGAGCGUCAGCGUCGACUCCUUCUCCCAGCUCCCCUUCAUCCGGCCCACCCCCGCCCGCGACAAGCCCUCGAACGCGAACGCCUCCUCCUCCCCCACCGCCAUCCGCCUCUUCGGCUUCGACUUCCCCCACGACCCCAAUUCUUCCGCCGAGGAGCCCUCCAACGUCAAAGAAACCCCCACCUCCACAUCUAACACUAACAUGAGCAACAACAACAGCAACAGUAAUAAUAAUAAUAAUAAUAGUAACGCCGCGGGCGGUGGGGGCAGCAGCGACGGCACCGCAGGGCGGAAAUUCGAGUGCCACUACUGCUGCCGCAACUUCCCGACGUCGCAGGCGCUCGGCGGGCACCAGAACGCGCACAAGCGCGAGCGCCAGCACGCGAAGCGGGCUCACCUCCAGUCGGCGAUGGCCGCGCACCACCACCACGCCGCCAUGCUCGCCGAUGGAGGGGCCCACGUCUACGGCCUCAUCAACUACCACCGCCUCGGCUCCGUGCCCUCCGCCGCCCGCUUCGAGCCCCCGCCCCCGCCCCACUACCCUUCAUGGACCAGCUCAAACCCUAGCCUGAGCCCCGCCGGGGCCCGGUUCUACAGCGGAAUAGGAUCCAUGGCGCAGCCCAUCAAUGGCAACCCGCUUCCGGGGCUGUGGCGUGUGCCGAGCCACAGCGGCACCGCAAAUUUCAGCACCGCUUAUAGAGACCGGUCGGUGGCGGCGGGGCCGCUGCCGUUGUUCGGAGGAGACGAUUCGACGAAGGCGGCGGCAGGGGCGGCGGCAGCAGGAUGCGGCUCGUCCCCAUCUUCGUCAUCUUCGUCUUCUUCGACGUCGCAAGAGAGAGGUGGGUAUGGAUCCAGCGGUAAGGAUAGUGUGAGUUUGGAUCUGCAUUUGUAAUUCGGAGGGCUUCGUUUCGUCGAAUUAUUAUAACAAUUUUUUCAUCCUAUUUCCCAUCAUAGGGUCCUUUGAUGCAUGCGAAUGAAUUGCUCUAUAAAAAUUAUGACUAGUGGCGUUUUCCAUGGUUUCAGUAAAUCUCUUUAUUAAUAUUUAAGAUCAAAUUAGAGAUUCAGUUCCUUAGGAGCUCCUACCUUGUUCACUAAAACGUAAUUAAUAACAAUUUAUGCUAGUUUUAUUUGAUCGAUAAUUAAGUUAAUGCUCAAAGAUUUACUGUGCGCAUCAUACUCAUUUGGUUAUUUGAAAAAAAAAAAAGAAGUUGUAUUUGCAUUCAAAAAAGAAAAGUUGCAUAACUUAACAACUUUAAUAGAAGCUAUAUAUGAUACCUUUUAUAUAUAUAUAUAUUUUUCCCUUUUAUUCACCAAGAACACUAUUGGGGAUAACUCGUGAGAAUGCGCUUUAAUGAUGUGUAUACAUAGGUUUAGCACAAGUAAGAUAUUAUGUAAUUAGGCAUAAAUUGCGUACGUAAAUUUGUGAUGUUAUAUGCAAAGAUAUAUAUUGAAGCAAAUGAAGACAUAAUUUGUUUCGAUUGUGCAUCAUACAAGGUGUCAAGAAUACUAUGCAAAUCAAGCAGUGAUAGAACUGCGCAAAUGAAGUUGGAUGCAGAAUCAAUGAUAGGAAAAAUAUAGGACUAGUUUCAUACAAAUUUUAAUUAUUUUGAUGUAAUCUUUGGUACCAAUUUAAUUUAUGAAUAAAAGAUGUCUCAAGGCCAAAUAGUUCAUGGGUAUAUUAUGUUAUGAUCAAUCACCACUAGAAAGAUAUUCAGCUUAAUUCCAUAAUUGUAGAAUGAGACAAAGUUUCUAAGCUUGGAGAAAAAAGAGGAAUGAAACAAGAGAUGUAAAUUAAUGUCAUUUAAAUUUGGUGAGGUUUAAUGCACAUAUGCAACAUUGUUAACAUAAAACAUAGAGGAGGCAAAAAAUGAGAAUAAGUGUGCUUCAUACAACAACUUGUAAAAUAGGGUUGUUUCCCUGUUUAAUCAAAAAAAAAAAAGUGUGCUUCAUACAAAUUCAACUGAUCACAAUGGCACCAUGAAGAUUUUAGUCACAAUUAACCUUGUUCAAAAAAUCAGUCCUAAUUAAUAUAACAUCAGUGUUUGUUAUACCUCAUGGAUUUGAAUUUUCAUUUGCAUAAUUUAUUCAUAUUCUGUUCUCCAUGCAAUAAAAUCUUUUUGAGAUGACCUGAUCUUCUUACAUAUUAAUAAGGGGCAUUAAUUUUUUAUCUAUAUAUAUCCAUGGACAAAAUCUUGCAGAAGGAUAAAUUGAUCUUGCGAAUUUUUCUUGAAGAACAUAGUUUCAUAUUCAAAGAUAUAAUUGUUCAUUUUUUUUUCUCUUUUUGUUUUAGUUAUUUUAUGUUUGACAUGCAUGCUUUCAAAAUCCUACUUCAAGUUCUGUAGUUCCAGGUUCCCCCAACAAAUGUUGCGAGAAGAAUAAAUUGAUCUUGGUGAAUUUUCUUGAAGAAGGUAAUUUCACAUUUAAAGAUAUAAUUAUUCAAAAUUUUCUUAUUUUUUUUAAAUUAUUUAUGUUUGAUAUGAUUGCUUUAAAACACAACUUCAAGUUUUUUAGUUGCUAGUUUUCCCCAGUAAGAUACUGUUGUCCAUGCAAAGAGUAUUGCUUUAGUUCAUAUGAUAUGUAGCAAUGUAGAAUGUUUCCAUGCUCAUUUACUGCUCACUGGUUGAUUAAACAUCUUAUUUAACUAAUUUAGAUUCAAAACUGUGAUCAAUUUGUUUUGUUUCUGUAUAUAUAUAUAUACUAUAUAAUAUAUAUAUAUAUAUUUAUAGAGGAGAGAGAGAGAGGAGAGAGAGAGGAAGGAUGAGAGAGAGAGUUGAGCCUAGAAUACUAUCGAUAGCAAAUUGGCACCUUUGCCACCCAUUUGUUUUCGAUGAUGAAGCCUCCAAAUCGCAUGAUCGGCACCGCUGAACAUGAUCUAUACCAUUUGAAGUAUUUAGAAAAUCAAAUUUCAUACAUUUUCGAUAUUGUUCUCUUAUCCAUCGAGUGAGACACAAAAUGAAACCUGAAAAUGAAUAUUUUUAUAAAAAUGAUGAUAGAAGUCUUGUAUCAAGAUCAAGAGUAUAGAUCUUGUUUUAACAGUUCUAAAAAAUUUUCUAAAAAAAUUUAAUGAUUUGGAUAUCUUUACGCUAACCGUUUAAACGAGAAAACGCCUCAUAUCGACCAUUUAGAAUUACAAAUUUGAAACCCGAUUAUUUAGGCCAAAUGAUGUCGAAAAGAUUUGAAUUUAAUUUCUAAAACAAUUCAAGUGGUAUAGUAUAUGUUCAACGGUGCUGAUCGUCGAUUUGGAGGCUCCAUCAUCGAAAACAAAUGGUGGCAAAGUGCGGUUGCUAUCGAUAGUAUUUCUUUAUAGCUCACUUAUAUAUAAUAAUAUAUAUAUAUAUAUAUAUAUAUAUAUAUAUAUAUAUAUAUAUAUAUAUAUAUAUAUAUAUAUAUGUGAUUAUUCUGAUGUGGAGUUGGUGCAAAAUAAUUAAACCCAGUACAUUUGCCAACUAAAAUUAAAAUAAGCUUGUAAUGUGGUUUAGAAAUUAGCAAACUACAUAUGCCAGGAUGAGCUCUAGCCUUUCAUUGGCCGAGUUUUGUGUCGUAGAUAAGCAUUUAUUAGAUCCUUAAUUAUAUUGAUUCAGACGAGUGCAUAGACAUAAAAUUAAUGCAUCCUUAGGCUUAAUAAAUAGGUAAAAAUAUAUAGAAAUUCAUCUGAACUAUCGCUCAUUUUGAUCUUACUACCUCUCCUUUAAAAAUUUUGAUUUUACUGUUUAACCUAUUAGUUUAUUCGAUUUGAAUCAUUUAAUGUUUCUUCAACUUCAAAUUUUAUAUGUUUUCUAUCCUUACGAGCUUAAGUAGUAUAUUUUACAUAAUUCUUGUGACUAUAAAUCCAUUAAAUUAAGCAAAAAGACUAAAUUUUAUACCAUAAAAUGAUAUAAAUCAGACAAAUUGAAAAAUUGGAUAGUAAAAUUAUAAUUUUAAAAGAUUGGAUAAUUAAAUAAAAACGGGUCAUAGUUCAGAUGAGUUCUAUACAUUUUUAUAGCUUAAUAUUCCGGCAUCUUGAUUAAUUCCAAGUAGUAUGAUGAAUAAAGUUUGCGAGAAGUGUUUUUUUUUUUUUUUUGAGAGAGAGAAAGGUAGCAUGCUAUCCAUUUAAUUUAUUUUUUUAAAAAAUAAACUUAGUUAGAAAUGUGAAUCAAUUAAAAUUUGAACUUAGAAUUUCGAAUACCAACCAUCAAACCCUUUACCACUUACGCCAGGAACAGUCGGUGUUUGCGAGAAGUGUUAAUAUGACUAGUUCGCACGUGUGGAGCCAAUAAUAUUGUUGUGAUUCACAUGAGAGGCUUUGAAAUGUUAGGCGCAAAAUUUAUUGAGAUUCAUAUUAAUUCUUUUUUUUUUGGGCUCCAGUAUCGUGAAUAUCUAGUGUUUUAUUUGGAAAUGUCGAUAAAAUGACUGGUUCGCACGUAUGGAGCCAACAAUAUUGUUGUGUUCACAUGAGAGACUUUGAAAUGUUAGGCGCAAAAUUUAUUGAGAUUAAUAUUAAGUCAUAUAUUUUUUGGGCCCCAGUAUCAUGAAUAUGUAGUGUUUUAUUUGGAUUUAUAUGUUGGGCUUGCUCACCUAAUCAAUGUGCUCUAUUUAUUGUUAUGUGUACCAUUUGCACUUUAACUCGUGUCUCAUUUGUCCCGUACACAAAUCACAGCAAUUCCAACCCCUGCAUUUUAUCUAAAUCACAAAUUAGACCCCAAACAUAAAUUUCAAGCAUAAGCAAUGUUGGCCGUACAUAUAGAAAUAUACUAUGUAUAAAUCUUACACCUAGGUAUCCUAUGGCUAGGAUUCAUCCACUAAUCUUAUUUUUAUAUUUAUUUUACCAUAAAUCUAAAAAAAUUUUCUAAACCUUACGAUGUAAGGGUGUAAGAUGCACAACCCUAUCUGGUGUGUACUACAUAUAGAUUUUUCUUUCAAAAUUACCUAAAAGAUUGAUGUAAUUAAUAAGAAACAAAAUAGUCUUGAUUAUUAACUAAUAUCCUGCUUGCAUGCAUGAUAGAGAUUAAGUAAAUUACAUAUAUCAUAUGCACUGGCCGUAAAGAUGAGAAAAGAAACAAUUAACAAACCAAUAACUGUGUAAUCAAAUCAUGGAUAUAUAUAGAAGUAAAACUCAUGACCCUUUGAAACAAAUAUAUAUAUAUAUAUAUAUAUAUAUAUAUAUAUAUAUAUAUAUAUAUAUAUAUAUAUAUAUAUGUGACUAAAAAAAUUAUUUCAAUAAAUAACAAUUUAGAAAGAGUCUUAACAAUGUCAAAAAUCGUGAGAAAAGUGCUCUAACUAAAGAUUAACCACCUCCAUAUGUAACCGGUGUUUAUUCUCAGGAACUAUAUAAUUAGCGUUAUAAGUUCACAUAUGAAUAAUCCAAUAUCAGAUAAUUAGUAAAAGAGUAAAAAGUGGAUAUAUCUUAUAAGCUUUUAGGAUGAAUGUGUUCUAUUAAAUAUGUCACAUUCUUAGACUUAUGUGGACCUGAGUUGGGACUAAAUUAAACUACCUAACACUUAAAAUUGAAGGCGAUAGAGCAGGUUAUUUUUCAUUUCUCAGCAAGGCAACAAAAAAGGGCCAGGUGACAAAACUGAUCCUUGCAGCUUACUCAUUAUGUCCCCAGAUAGCUACACAUCAUUGAAUGAUCCCUAACGCGACCUCUAAAUACGGGCUCUGUCCCUAACACUGCCUCUCCCCAGUUCCUCUUUGCAACUCUGCCCCAGUUUAAUUUGCAGAACACAUAAAAUCCCAUCACAACUAUAUAUAUGGCUUAUAAUAUAUAAUAGAGAUGAUCACCACCUCUCUCUCUCUCUCUCUCUCUCUCUCUCUCUCUAAGUUGCAUGUGCCAGCUUUAAGUUCUGGGAAUGAGCAAAUGCAUGCAUGUGGAAUAAAAAAGAAAGAUGCAUGUACUUCAGUUGACAUGCAGAAAAUUCCAGGGGAGAGUAUGCUAUAUAUAUAUAUAUAUAUAUAUGUAACCAUGAAGUUUAAUUAUUUCUAGGGGAACGUUUCCGUGUCUAUGUUGUGAGAGCAUCAAAAAGGACAAUCAUUUCCACAACCGCGGAGCCAAAAAAAAAUCCUCUAUAGACUAUAUAUAUAACAAUCAUAUCAUAUUAUCCUAAAUUAAUUCUAUUAAUUGCACCAUAUAAGGUGAUGGAAAGGUACAAUCAGAGUAACAUCGAUCGUAAUUUUAUAUUGAAAUAACCUCUCUUUUAAAAAAAAAAAAAAAAGCUCUUAUAGUUGUGUGCAAUAUGAAGAUCUUUAAUUGAAUGUCUUUGAUCGAAUGUUUCUAUUCCUGCAUAGAAUAACUGAGACAGAGAAGAGACUUUUCGUCGAAAGCUGGUUAGUACUUUGAAUGACCCAUGAUCAAUAAGAAGGUGAUUCAAUCUGCAGGAAUUGAGAACAAUUCAAUCAAAUACUGAAAUCUAGAAUAAAAUCUUGACUAAUUACGAAAGGUGCACGCAAUUCAGCUCGUAUCAAUUACCAUUUAUCCCAUCUAAAAAUUUGCAACUGCUUCAACUCUACAAUUUUCACCUAGAUGGAUAGGCUCAAAAGAUAGAUCAACAAGCGGAAAAUGGACAUUUUGUUAGCCAAUUUAUUCAAUUUAUAUCAUUCUAGCUAUUCCAUUAAAUAUAGCAAUAUUAUCCACCAACUUAAUUAUUGUUGUAAAGUUUUGAAUAUAAAUCAACUACCAUCCUAAGCCUUUGGUUCUAUUAAAAGUAACACAGACGAAGUGUGAGAAAUUUUUCUGUAAUUUAACCCAGUUUAAGUAUAUCUAUGUAUAUAUAUAAAUGAACCAAAACAAAAGGUUUUAACAUACGUAUAAUUAAUACUAGAUUUUGUUUCCUUCUCCGUCCCAUUUGGACUAUUCUCACGCAUUGAUCCAACAUUUAUGAUUGUAUUGUUAGUGUUGUGAUCGUUUUCUUCAAAUAAAUUUUCAUGGUUGUAGUUGCAAUGUGGGCAUCUGCCUCUAAUUAAGAUCAACUACUAGCAGUUCUCCAGUGAAGGCUACACCUCGAUUGAUGGAAAAUGAUUUCCUCUCAACCCUGUUUGGUUGAUCUAGUACUCAAUCAAUCAAUACAUGGUGGUAAAAGCAUGUUAUCCUAAGAUCUAGCUUCAUGGUAGUGUUCUAAGUAUACUUUGUUUAGCUUCGCAGACUCGAAAUUUAGAUGCUAAAUUUAAAAUUAGACUCAUCAAAUAUACUUUCAAGCUAGAUGUGUAUUGAGGUACUCCUAGCAUUGCUCCUUUUUUUGGACAAUAAAGGGGGGGUGAAAAUCCAAAUUAUUGAUUUUAGUAAUUACAUCCUCUAAAUAAUAAGCCCAUACAAGAACACAUUUGCUAAGUAAUCUUUAAUCUAUGCUCUACUGCUUCUUUAAUUUCGAGCGAUCUAGACUUAGUUUGGUACUGUAGUGCCAAAACUAACCGUUUUUAUAUUUUGAAAGGUUCAGAAAAUUCAAAACUACUUCAAAUUUUUCUUACUCUAACGCUAUAAAACUAUAGGAGAAUCACCGCCGGAAAAGCAAAUAGUUAUAUGCUUCUCUGGUGGCAAUUCCUAUCACAAUUUUAUAAUAUUGAAAGAAGAAAAUUUGAAAAUGCUUUUUGGAUUUUUAGGCCCUUUAAAGUACAAAAUUAGUGCUUUUGGCACCACAAUCCCAAAUUAGCUAGGCUUCUAUCUACUGCUUUCUUCCCUUCUUGAUAGAUACGAGUCAGUUGAAAACUUCAUAAUUUCUUUGUAAGGUACCAAAAUCCAUUAACAAAUGUAAAAGAAUCAUUUUCAAAUUCCCCUUUCAACCAAAUUCUGUACACCCUCCAUGUUCCUGGAUAGCAGAAUACAAAGUGUGCCAUGCUACCUAGCUUAGCGGGUGUUAUCUGGAAUGUCUACUAAGAAGGUUAGAAGUUCGAUUUCCCAUUUGGUCAUUUAUUAGAUGAGACUAGAGCAUCCUACUUCUUGGGUGGGAGGGGGGAAAAAAACUCUAGUUGUAUCUAAGGGGUUUGGGCAAGCUUUGCUGUAUAUUGUUUUACUCAUUUGAAGAUUACAAAGGUUUUAGAAUGGCAUGGUCUGCUUGAUUAUCUGGAGUGGCUUAAGCUUUUAGACAGCUGAAACUUCUCAACUACUAACUAAUAUGCAUAUGAAAUCAUCCCUUGUUUAAGUUUCCACACACAAAAAACAAAAAUCCAGUGCUUAAGUUUCGACUCGUAAAUUAUUAUCUAAGCGAAAUUCAUAUUUUUCAUUCAAUUACAGCCAAGCCUAGUUUUUUUUAUUACCGGACAAAUCCAUAAAAUGAGAAGGACAAGUGUAUUCUUAAUUGGUAUCCAAGGUCCUAAGUUUUAAAACCUAAUUGCUUCAAAUUUUGGAUAGCUUACUAUCUUUUUCCUAAAAAAGAAAAGAAAAGAAAAGAAAAGUACUUUUAUAUACCCAGGCCCAUAAAAUGAAAAGUUUUUUAUGGGCUUGUCCAACCAUAUUGGGGAAUGGACAUAACCCCUUAUUCAUGACAAAUUAUUGCUUGGACUUGAUUUUUCAGGCUAGCCAAGAACAGACCCAUACCCUAGAGGAUUUAAAUCUUAACACAAAUCAUUAAAUGUAAUUUACAUAUGGAUGUGUGCAAUCCAUUCAUUAACGAUCGAACUUCAGUGAUUGACGAGAAGCUAGUUAAAAUGGACAAACAUCUGCAGUAAAUUCAAAAGGACAUCUGGAGACUAAAUAUCUUAUAUCUGUUUCACCUAAACCAAAGGAUUUGAUAGUCUCAGUAAGGGGAGAAUAAAAAAAGCAACAACAACAAUAACAACCAAAGAUUUGUUUCGAAGAGCCAAGCUCAGUUGAAUAAAACAAGACAGUUACAGCAGGACCUGAUGAAAACAGAAGCAGAACAAAUUAGAUUUGAAGGCACAGUUUGGAACUACUUCACACACACAAACUUACGGUGUUCGACAAGAAUCCAAAAGCACUUUUAACUCAAGUGCUUCCAUAAUCGUACUAUGUUCGACGACCCAGUCAGUGCAAUCAGGCACAUAAAAUGGGUGAAGUUCAAAAGCUUUUGCAUUUCUGUUCCCAAACUAAUCAUACUACGAUAUCUUGCUAACUCACUUCUACAAAAUCUAACCCUCCAGAGUCUGUUUGUCCGAGCUAGAGCUUUUGCAAAACUGCCGAGUUGUUUUAAGGAUGACUGUUUAAAAAGGAACCAACAACUGUUCUGAAAAAGUUUCUGAAAAGACUUCUGCCACAAUAAGAGGCAGAAAUCUUAAACUAAAACUUCUGCUUGGGCAGAAAUCUCAGGAAUCGGAAACCUGUUAUUUGUCAGACACUUCGGAAUAUAGAAUCUGUUUCCAAAACUAAGGCUGCAAAAGCAGUUUUAAAUCUCUCAAAAAAUGUUAUUAAUCCUUGAAGAGCAUGUUGUACAACACCACAAUGAAAAGGAACCAAGAUCAUGAUCCUGGAGGAGACUACUAGUGUGAGUAUCAGCAUUUUCAACUUCCAUAUUAAUUUCAGAACACGCAAGCAACCGACAUUUCGUCACAAAGCUAUAAAUUCAUGAAGCUCACCAAAGUUAAAAGAUAAAACUGGAAAGCCUCUAACUUUGACAUUUAUACGUGCAUACGCACGAAUAGUCGGUCCUCUUACCAUUGGCGACACAGACUCCGUUGCCGUUAGUCUGUUGAAAGCACCGCCGUCUGCACAAGGAAAGGUUGCAGCCGCCGGGCGCGAGAGUUGCCUGGCAUGUCGCCGCUUCAGCUUUCGGCACCAGUACUUGUACUGCCAAUGUUUGCAUACAGUGUUGGCAUUUCAACAAACACAUAGUGCUAUAUACCAUGAUACACAAACAUUACACCUAGAGCUCUUCUAUCCACCAAGUUGGGAUCUUAACACCACAAACAAGCAUUGUUCUCUUAUAAUAACAGAAAAUUCUAAGGAGAUAUGCAUGGUAAGGAUUUCAAGGGAACUGUUGGAGAAGUUUGGGCUAAUCAAGUUAAUAUAUUAAAAAAAAAAAAACCAAUUAGAGUAACAACUUUUUGAAAUUGUUAUUGAUGAAAAAAAAAAAGGCAUUGAAAUGGAGUGGUGGAAAAAAGGAGAGGUUGGGGAGUACCUGAAGAAUAGAUGAGGAGGAGGGAACAGAGAAGGGAAGCAGUGCAGGUUAGAGUAGUAGCCAUCAUCUUAAUAUAAGAGAAUGCUCACAAAACAAAUCUAUUUGCUUGUUACUAUGCUGGGCUAUUUGGGCCCAUCUUAGCCCAAUACAAUUGUGGGCUUGAAAAAAGCCUUGAGCCCAUUUUUGGCCUACUCUUUUUUGGCUUUCUUAUGCUAGUGGUGUGUACUGUUGUCUUAUGUCACCCUCUGUUUCCUGGCCAUGCCUCUGCUUCUUAGACAGAGAAGCGUCUAAAAGUAAUUGAAUUUAAAGUGUUCGUCGGCUGUGGUAUUUUCAACUGCAUUUAUUUAUGAUCUAAUAUUGAAGAAUCAAAUAAAUUUACAGCUUCUUCCGCAACAAAAGGCAGAUGCAUGAUUUUGAAGCCCAAAAGACCAGCUUAAUUUAUAGCUUUUGAUUCCAAUAUGGAGAAAACUAAUAUAAAACACGCAAAAGCAAAAAUAGAGGUUUGCUGCUUUCGGCCAAAAUUAAUUAUAGUGCUUUUGCUAACAACAGAUUAAAGAUAACACUCAUCAAACAACACGUUACCCCGCAGUAGAUUGAACGGGCCCUAAGAACGUUUGACUCCAUCUCUAAGUCAGAUUAGUGCUUAUUUUUCUCUUCAAAGAAGCUUAUCCCAUUUGGAAAUUUCGUGGGACCUCUCAGAUUGCUUGCGAUUGAGGCGGCUUAGUUUCAUUGACUUUUCGCAAUCCCAAAUUUCUAGACGCUUAACAUCAUAUCAUCACCAAUCAUUUCUAAAGCAAGUAAAAAAAAGACUCAAAGGUCGGUACUAAAACAUUCUCGAAUUCGAAAUUUAAUUACUUCGCAUUUUCAGCUAAGCGCAAUAUACGAAAAAAAAAAAAAAAAANCGUGCUACCUUUCUCUCUCAAAAAAAAAAAAAAAAAAACAACUUAUGUGUUGAAAUUUUGGGACUAUAUAUCCUUUAUGUUGCAAAUUAAAGGCCCCAGCAAGAUGGAUGAAUAAAAAAAAAAAAAAAACACGAAGUAUUGCACACAAAUGGUAUGGUUUAAAAUCUCACAUUCCAAUACAAAUCAAGUUGCACACAAAUCAUAUUACAAAUCCAAAUCAAGUACAUAUGAAACAAUCAAAGAAUACAUAUAUAUAUAUAUAUAAAAUCCCCUCAUCUAAAACCUAAGAAAAGCCAAACAAACUCAAUCCUCCUUCCUCUCCGAGGGCUUGACCUGCGGCGACAGCUCGCCACCGGGCGGCAAGUCGGAGAGGACCGCGAGCAUGCGGCGCAAGCUCACCGACCGGCUCGGGCGGAAACUAUGCGAUCUCUCGGUCGCGGAGAAGAUGUUCGAGGAAUUGGACAGGACUAGGAAAACCAAAGCCUGGACCAAGAUGAACAUGCUCACCUUCACUAAGAUGUCGCUCCAAUCACCAUCUAAAGCCAUGAACAAAGCCAUUGUUGAUCGGUGUUAGGGAAUAUAAGGAGUAUAAUUAAAGAGUUGGUGUGUGAUAUGAUGAAGUAAUAAUGAGGGAGGGGCUUCUUAUAUAUGUUUGCAGGAUGGGUUUUAUUUGUUCUAAUUAAGCCAUCUCUUUGACCACAGGCGUAGUUACGUAGAGAAGGUUCUUGGGCAGUUUCUUGUGGUUGAAUUAAUUAAUUAAUAGCCUAUAUGACUGGGUCCUAAUUUGACAUGUAAUAUGUACCAGAAACAUUUUGCACGUUUGGGAAUUAGUCUUUUAUUUAAUUCUUUUUAUUCUUUCUCUUUCUCUUUGCGCACAUCGAGCGAAACUAAUUAAUAGGGUCGAUAUUAAAAAUAAUUAUUUUAAAAAGUGUUAAAGAUUUUUUUUAUUUAUAAUUUUUUCAGUAGUUUUUCAGAGACUCGAUCAGACACUUACUUUGAAAAAUCAAACUGAAUAAGCAAUUUUUUUUAUUUUUUUUUUCCUUUAGAAUGAAAAAUCGUGAAACUCAUGAAAUCCAGUAAGUUGGCUCUCUUUUUCUUUUUUUUUUUUUGCAGGUGUGUGUUCAUAAUAUAAUAAAAUAUAUUUUAAACGAUGAUUUAUUCUAACGUCUUUAAUAUUUUACAUGUGUUGACACCAUGAAUAAGCGUCGUCAAUAAACAUAUUUUUAUCAAAUACGGAUUAAAGUUUUUUACGCUAUAUUAAAGCGUCGAUAUAUUUAUCCCGAUAUAUUUACUUAAUGACUUUUUGUUCGAUACUUUUAUAAUUGUCAGAAUUAUUUUUUAAAGCGUUGCUAGUUAUUAUUUAAAAUGUGACAUUAUUUAUAGCAUUUUCAUCCUACAUUGAUUUCUUAUCUAAGUUUUCACUACCAUGUGAGAGGAAAGUUCAAUGUCCAAUACCAAAGGUUGAGUUCCAGAUGCUUAAAAGCAUUUUGCAGACGCAUCUUAUUACGUGGCUACAACGUGGCCCUCGACUUUGCUGUCACGCAAAAGAAGUUUGGUUAUAUAACUUUUUGUUUAAUUAUUCUCAUAUAUUGCUCAUGUAUGUGCACGGAUAGUAUAAAUAAUUUUAAUUAGUGUAAACACAUUGUGUAAAAUUAUUUAUAUAAAUUUAUCAGCACAUUAAGAGGCUAGUUGAUUGGAUAUAAUUAAAAAUAUAAUUUAUUUGGAGAUAUACGAAAAUAUAGCCGUUAUAACUAUAUCAUCGUGUUUACUUGAGUAUAACUAAAAACGAUGAAAUUGUAAACAAUUUGUCUUGAUUGCAUGUAGAUAAGAAAUGCAUUCUAAAAAAUUUUUCAAUUUAUAUAUGUAAUAGUGAGAUUUUUCGCUUAAAAAGUGAUUAAGAAGGUAAACUUAUAUUUUAUUUAAAGUUGUUCUCCCAAACUGCUAUAAUUAAAAUUACGAAUAAUUUGGACGUAGUCCUAACUAUUACAAUUGAAUCUCUUUCUACAAUUCCAACUAUAACAGACGAGUUCAAAUAUAUCAAACUAAAUAUUAAAUUUAAAUUCUAUAAAUUAUUAUAAUUAUAUAUUAUAGUUAUAACUAGAUAUAGUCAUGCAAAUAUCUCCUCCUAAUGUGAAAGAGCGGAAUUAUUAUUUAGUGAUAUGAUUUGGAUAUCUUUGCUUCUUUGACCAAUAGGAUGGUACGAAGUAGGAUCUUGAUAAGAUCCCCAACGUGGAGUCCAUGGCUUCUGACUAGGACCAACAACUUUGUAAUAAAGCACGAUGUAAAUUGGCCAAAUCAUGGUGCCGUUUUGAGCUUUUUUUUUAUUUAAUAGCAUGCUAACCGUUUCAUUUAUUUAGCAAAUAAAUUUAGUUAUAUGAGUUGAGACAACGCGGUUUCGAAAAAUAUUCAAGACAAUCAAAACAAAAAAAGAUAAAUAAAAAUAAAAAAAAUUAUAAAAAAUUUGAUAAUUCUAUUCCUCACUCAAAUUUACAUCACUAAGACAAAUAAAAGGACAAAAAAUUGCUGUGCUUUAGGCUCUUUAUGACACUACAAAAUUUGAUAGAUCCUUAAGCUGUUUGACGACAAAUUAAAAAUAAUAUUCUAGUAAUUUGUAUAUUAAAGUUAUGCUAAGCAAAUAAAUUUGUAAUGGUCUCCAAUGAACAACUUGGAACGAAGCAGAACACUAGUCGGAUUCAUCAAAAAUUUAAUCUUAAUUGCCAUGAUCGUUUGUUUUAUAUUUUACAUUUAAAUGGUAACGUCAAAAAAUUAUAGCUUGCAUUUUUCAUUUUCUUUUCAUUCUAUGUCCUUAUCGGAUGUUCUUGAUAGGCUCAAGCUCUUUUCUACAGCCUAUCAAAAGUCAAAAGUCAAAAGGUUAAAAUGUAUGGUGACCCCCACAGCUAUGAAUGCAACUUGGAUAAAGAGCUAAUCAAUGAAUUCUCGUUAGGACAAAUUAGUAAAAUUAGUAAAUCAUAUGAUUUACCCGUGUCCGAAUAUUAAAAGUUGAGUCUAUUCUAGGUGAAUUUUAAAGAGGCCAAAUAAAUUUAAAUGAGAAAGUUUCGCUCAACUAUAGGACAUACAAGAAACAGAUAUUCUUUUAAAGUUCCAAUUCAUUUGUAAAAUUUUUCUGCGCUUGCCCCACAGAUGUAUUGGAAAUGAUACCUUGGGACGGAUGUAAAGCCAAGCAAAUAGCUUCCGCGCCAAGAACCGAGGACUGUGUAGGUUGUAAGAGAUGUGAAUCCGCCUGCCCAACAGAUUUUUUGAGUGUCCGUGUUUAUUUAGGGCCUGAAACAACUCGCAGCAUGGCUCUAUCUUAUUGAUACGUUACAAAAAACUCCACUUGAAUAAUUUGUGAUUCCUUAUAAACAGAUUGAUUUAAAAAAUAUAUUGAUUGUUUUUAAUAAACCACUGCUUUGUCUGGUGUCUACAAUAUUACAAUAUAUAAUAUAUGAUUCAUUUACUACUAACUUGAUUUGACCAGAUCGAAAAUUUUUUAUGUUCAAAAGUGGAAUUUAUAGAUCCAAUGUCACAUUCAGUAAAAAUUUAUGAUACAUGUGUAGGGUGUACUCAAUGUAUACGAGCUUGCCCCACAGAUGUAUUGGAAAUGAUACCUUGGGGGACGGAUGUAAAGCCAAGCAAAUAGCUUCCGCGCCAAGAACCGAGGACUGUAGGUUGUAAGAGAUGUGAAUCCGCCUGCCCAACAGAUUUUUUGAGUGUCCGUGUUUAUUUAGGGCCUGAAACAACUCGCAGCAUGGCUCUAUCUUAUUGAUACGUUACAAAAAACUCCACUUGAAUCAUUUAUGAUUUCUCAUAAACAAAUUGAUUUAAGAAAUAUGUUAAUUAUUUUAAAUAAACCACUGCUUCCUGGUAUAAGCAGCCAUAUAUUUUUAUCAAACAAAAUUAUAAAAAUUUUAAGUUUAAUCUAAAAUUUAAAUUUAGAAAAAUGGUAGGAAGUUUAAAUGAGUUUCAAUUUGAUAAUUUGAAAAAAAAAAAUUAAUUUAACAAAUUGGUAGGGGCCGCGCGGACGCGUACCCCUGCUGUCACAAAUUACGACGUCCACUCUCCCACUUGGGGAGAAGGUAGACCAGCGCACCCACCGCGUGCAAUGUGGACCGCUGAUCUAGGCCAUAGGCCUUCCUGACCGCCCAUCGACCCCGCCCAGGUAAGUAUGGUCAAACAUUCUCCGCCCUUUCUCUCUUAUACACCUCCUCCGCAUCUGGUGGAACUCUGCUGAGCGAUGUGGGACUAAAGAACUCUCAAGUGAUUCGCUCGUGCAUUCAUUUACUUCCUUCCUAUUUGGCGACGCAUUGCCACGUCCCAAAAUUUGUUACCAACUCUUUAAAUUUAAAUUUUUAGCCUAAUGUAGUGUUACUGCCUUUCUUUUAUUUUUUUCAAUAAAAAUCUUCUUUUAUACAAUAGUAAAAAAUAGAAUGAUUAACAUUUGUUUAGCGACAAAAAAUAAUAAUUUGAAUACAACUUUCUUUUAUUUUUUUUAAAUAAAAAAGUUGUCAUUUAUUACUUUGACCAAGAAAUAUUGCAAACUAGCCAAUUACAAGAAAAAAUCCUCUUCCUUAAAUAUCCAAUCAUAUAAAAACAAUAUUUAGAAAACAAAAUAAAAGUAUAAUGCAAGGCUUUUUGAUGAAAAUGACCAGAGUUUCAGGAUGAAACAAAGAAGGACUCAAAAUAAUAAUAAUAAUAAUAAUAAUAAUAAUAAUAUUAAUUUAAAGCUGCCUCCUCUGCAUUCAUCAAGUUGCUAGAAGACUAAAAAAUGAAAGUAAACUACAAUAGUUUCUCAAAUUCUUCGCACCAGCAAGACAAAUCAUUCUCAAGAACUCCAUCUGGGGCGAUUUUAAAAGCGAAGCGAAAUCAACACAGAGGAAAAGAAAAUCGCAUAUAAUUUAUUGCUUAGAAAUAGGUUUGAUCAAUGUACACAAGCUUGUAAAAAAAUUAUUCUAAAAGCUUCUGCUUUAGGUCUGUGCAAGAGAACAAAGUGCCGAAGCCUCAGAUACAGAACUACUCUAACUCGUCAGGAUGUUAUAUAUUGCAUGUAGUAGUGAUCCGAAACAGUUCACGAGUCCUCUUCUCAGAGCUGCUACAGCAAGAGCCACGUCGCAUCAACUGUGGAAACAAAUGCGAAACAAUCGAGUAAAAUAACAUUGCAAGAAAUGAAAGGCUAAAGAAUGUCUAGAGAAAGCAGUAAGUUGAACAGAGGAAUGUCAAAGAAGAACCAUCAGUUUGUAAGGCCUCAGAAGUCGGGGUUGAUCUCAGCACAAGCACAUAUUCAGAAAAGAUGGCCUACAUCCGCUUUUUUACUUUCCCUCCAAAAAAUUAUAAAAAGGACUUGAGUUUUCCAACUUGAUUACUUUUUUCUAAUAGGUUCUCUCUAGUAGUGCUAGUGCACAUGAAAGUGUUAAACGCAAAAUUAUCAUGUGUACACUAACCAGAGUUGCUCAUCAAGGAGCUUUAAAACUAGAAUAUUAUUAUUAAUAUUAUUUAGCAUGAAUGUAUUGAAGUGUCACUAUUCUAGAUACGCAUGAAAGGAGAUGUACAGAGCAUGCAUGAUAUAUACUGUGCUUGUCAUGCAAAUAGAAGAUUCUAAUGGUUAAUAUAAGUUUAUUACAUCUACUAUUACAACAGUUUUAUAGGACUACAAAAGAGCAUAAAGCCAUAAACUAAGUCACAGAAAAAUGUGUGAUCAUGACAUAUUGCGAGUUAACUAGUUUUCAUAUAGUCGAGGGCGUUUAAUGAACUUUUCGAAAAGAAAAUUAUCUCAAGUAGGAAAGAAUAUAAUGAAUAACACAUGAAAAAGAUGCUCAGAAAUACAUAUCUUGAUUAUAUACUACAUGCAUAAACAUAGUACUCGGCAAAGAAAGCACAUAGAAAAAUCAUAGAAUAGAAUUAGAAGAGGAAGAAAUAGAAAAGAACACUGUAUCUUAUGAUAAUAAAUUUUGGAGACUUCAACACAGUGGAGCAGAACUACGUUAUGCGUUCUUGUAAUCUAUUAAAUCAAUUAUUUUGCUCAAAGCGUUAAAUUGAGAGUAAUGGGUGGUUAUGCUUGUUAUUGCAAGUGUGUGAACGUGAAUCAUGUGCUUAUGAGGAAAACCCAAAACAAGGGUGCAAGUUAAGAUAUGAGACCCACCAAAUGCAACAAUACUGACAAGUUAAAGAAACUGAUGGUUUAGUGAAUCUACUUGCAUUUUUCAGCCAACAUUUCAAAAGACUUCUGAGCAGUUGCAGAGGUUUCUAGAAUGUUUGCAUGCAGUCCAAAGAAAGCAAGAAAAGUAAUUCUUAUUAUUUGGAAAAAAAAAUGUCUAUUAUCGACUGCAUUAUUACAUUAACUAUAAAUAUCAUUGUUAGGCAAAUCAUGAAAAAGGCAGCACUGGGACCAAUAUAAGACAGACAAAAUUUACUCCAGGAUCAGGGUUCUUUUAGAUGUCUUGAGUCUGUAAAUACAGGUUAUCCCAUUUGAUGAACUGUGUAUUAUUAACUAUAUAACUGUAUUUUUUGUGGAAUCAGCGUACUUUUGUUAUUGAUCCUCUUUCACUUCUUUUCUUCAGUCACUAUCCACCUUAUAUUUCAUCUUAAUUUUGAAUUUAAAAUUUGAGAUCGAGAAGUAAUGUUGCCUAAGCAAAUAGAACUCUAACCUGGCAUACAAUGGUCCUGAAUCUCUUGGUGCUUACAUUUUCACAUAGUAGGAUAAGAAAAUCUUAAGAAGACUUAAAGGUCAUUAUCGUCCAACCAGCAGGAGUACGAAUGUCAAACUAUAUCCAAACAACUGACUAAGAUAUUAGGCUUUCUUUUCCCUCUCGUCGCUUUUGAAGAGUCCAGCCACCAAAUAUACAUUAUCCUUUAGGCCUAAUCUAUUGUCCUUAUUAUCAUUCCUACACAGUCCUUGCUAUCAUAGCUACACGGCUUUUCCACAAAUAAGAAGAAAUGAUAAUCUAACAACAUAUACCACGAAAGAUAAUCCUACAUAAACAAGACUAACACCUGAAUGUUUGGUCCACAGAAUUGUCUAAGGUUCAGCAAACUUGGAAAAGGACAGCGUGAAGUUUCUCCAAACAGAGAAAAGCUACACAGGACUUCAGCAUGUCUCCUAGUUCUGUUUACAACCGGAUUUACUGUACCUAGAAAUCACACUCAAUUUCAUAGAGAAUAAAAUGGUUGCACAGCUAUUCAUAAAAGACUAUUUAGCCAUACAACUAUGCACCUCUAAUAACUGAAUUGUGCUUUAGAUGCAACUAAUGGCGAUGAUAAUGAUAUAAUUGACGGCAAUACGCAAUCAACGAUACCACAAAGAGGCAUAAACCACUCAGAAACCUGACAGAAAAAUUAGGAAAUUCUAGCAUAAAGUGGAUGUUUCCCAACUAGUUUGCACUUCUCCCCUUUUAUUUGAAAAAAGAUAUUUUUAGUAGAUAAUAAAUAUGUCUAAAAAAAAACUCUCUACAUCUUUCUAGAGGAAAUGGCACUAAAUGCCAAAAUGACAGGAAACCACCACUACCCGAAUGUACAAAAGAAACAACCUUACUAUUUAGACAAACAAGAAAAGGCUGUGUGGUUCCUGGCAUGUUAAAUUCUCAAGGAAACACACUUAGAUGACAGUAUGGCACCUAAAAACAUAUCACAAAACUCCUUAACUGAUAUGAAGCCAUCAAAACAAACACCUAAAAGACCUAUUAGCUCUUCAUUGAGUCUGCUAGUCUUUCAAAUCUGUUUGAACAAAGGGUCAUGUACAUACACUCGCAACAAAUCAGCAGCCUGCAGUACUUCAUCAACCAGCACGUAGUAAAUAGCAAUUACAGAGGCAAAUCCAACUAAACCAGUGCAUCAAUGCCUACAAAAGUUGCAUCCUUUUCAAAAGAGUCUCGUAGAAGCAGAGGUAAGAACAAAGUGGAUAUUCAUGCUCAUUUUACACUCAAACCUUUUUAAGAUCCAGUAAGCAUGACGAUAAGGAAGUCACCAAUAUCAUCAACGCAAACUAUCAUCCAAUUUAUCUUAGUACUACACAAAUAUAAACCUUGUUUAACUACAACAAUGCUUGGCCUAGUUGAAGCUUCUCUAUAAGCGUUGUUCGAGUAAAGCUGUUAGAAGACACACUAUCAACCUUACAUCAAAUUCCUCAAACAGCUUCUUACUACAGAAGAAGUAAAACCUUCAAAACGGAGCUUUUACUCUCAGCUUAAAAGCUAAUCUGGCUGGCUGCCAGCCCUAGCACAAGCUGGGUUUUUUAUCUACCUGAAUUAUAGCAUUUGCUUCUUGAGUAGAGAUGGUAUCGCAAAAGCCAGGUAAAACGGGCACUAAGAUAUAAAAUGCCUCAUUAAGCCAUUAGUAACCAUGAUUAUAGUUAUUUUAUGCACCAAAAACGACACAGCCUACUAGCACUAAUAACUCGUUGGGCAGAAACCACUGAAGGCCCAAAAAAUUUAACCCCAGUUAUUAGAACUAGAACUUCCUAUUUAAACCCUAUCGUCCUCGUCAAGUUCAAUUCCCUAACCAUUCCCUAGUUCAAGAUCACCAGACAAUAUGAGACCUAUCUUACACUUCCGACCGACAAACUACCUCUGCUACCAAAUGUAACAACCCAGCUAUCUAAAACUAAUAACUCGUUGGAUCCAUAUUCAAAACCGGCCAAAAUGCUAAAGACCAGUUACUACUACUAAAAUUCUCUGUCCUCGUAUUCCCAAUUACGAUUCCUUUCCCAUCCGAUGUGGGAAUAUUGGGGCGUCCCAAAUAAUGCUAUUAUUACUCAGACACAUAAUAGCUGACUCUAGCCAAACAAACCCCAAAUUCUGAUCGGUGGACAAGUAGACACAUUCAACCUCUAAAACCACCACUUUUACCAGCCCCAACGAUCCAUCGUAAGUAUCUGACAUGAAUCCCACAUUUCAGAACACCCAGACUUUGUUGUAAUUGUUUUCAAUAAUGCAUUGAUUUCCUAGACAAGAAGCAUCAACUGGUAGUAGUUAGGAAACAAUAGCAACUAGCCAGUAAUCCCUCUGAGUCUAGCUACAUAGCGAAAACACUGGACUUUGAUUUCACACAAACAAACCUCAACCUAAAGAAGUUUGUUUUAAAUUCGAAAUCGAUCCACAGCUUCGCAACAGUGCGUAAUCAUACGAAGAUACAUAUAUAUAUAUAUAGAAAUAUAUAGAGAUGCAUACCUAAUCGAAGAACCACUCCUCUCUAGGCUCCGACGACAUGACAGCGUCGCCCUCGUCGUCCAACCUCCCCGCGGCGCCAGCCCCUCCGGCUCCCCCUCCUGCUGCUGCUGCAGCUGCGGCUGCGGCUGCUCCUUCCAGGGGCCACUGCGACGUGACGGUCUCGGCGCUGUUGGCGGGGCCGGCGGAGGAGCCGGUCUCGGCCUGCGCCAUCUGCGUGGGGGAGGCCGCCUCGACGGGGCGGGGGCGGCGGCGGCGGCGGCGGAUCCGGCGCAGCGCGUCCCUGAGCGCGCGGGCGCCGUCGUCGUCGUCGUCGUCGCCGCCGGCGUCGAGGAGGGUGCGGAAGCGGAUGGAGAUGUGGGUGGUGGGCGGGGGAUCGGCGGGUAGCGGGGAAGGGAGCGGGGAGCGGCAGAGGGGGCAGGAGUUGUGGAGGGAGAGCCAGGGGAGGAUGCAGUCGGAGUGGUAGAGGUGGCCGCAGGGGAGGCGGCGGGCGGGGGAGCUGAGGGGGAAGUCGUCCUUGCAGACGGGGCAGGGGAGGGAGGGUUCGGAGACGGGGACGGUGGGGAGGGCGGCGAUGGAGGAGGGCGGGCCGGGAGGGCCCGCGGCGGGGAGAGGCGGAGCGGACGUCGUCGAGAGGACGAGAGCGAGGUGCGGAUGAGGCGGCGCAGGUAUGCCUCGCGCGGGGGCCGGUCCGGGUCCCGGUCGCCGUCGGCGGUCCGGGUCGGGGUCGGAGGAGUCGGAGGAGGAGUCGAGAGGAGGUGGCGAGGUGGGGAGGGGAGGGGAGGGGAGGCGACGAGGGGCGUCCAUCUCCUCGAGGAAGUCGCCGCGGCAAUGGGGGCAGAGGAGAGGGAGGGGAAGGGAAGGAGAGGGGAGACGCUCAUGUCGCACACGUGGCCACCAGAAGGUGAGCGGGACGCGGAGCAGGUUGAUGGGAGGCGGCGGACGACAUUAGCUCUCGCGGGACCCGCCGGCCCCCUCGCCUGCGCUCUCCUGUUCUGGGUUUCGGGAAAUGGGUGGGUUGGGUACUUGGGUGGGUUGGCGGGUCUGUCUGACGCGCAGCCUCUUUCCCGUGUCGUUUCUUCAUUCCUACUCAUGCGGUGCCGCCGUGACAACGAGGAGAAAUGAUUGCCCGCACGGGCGUAUGACUGCCUCUCGUACACCACUUCUCGUAUCUUAUUCCCAUUUAUCUGUGUGAGUACGGGCCGCAAUCCACCUCGCGAAUUCAGCUCAAAUGAGCUCAAAUUGAAUUACUCUUUAAUAAACGACCGAGCACGAGUUAAAAUUCAGCUCGAGCUGGGGUCAGCUCACUCAUAAUUCGGCUCCGUAACAGCUCGAAUAUAGUAUAUAUAUAUAUAUAUAUAUAUAAGUAUUAUAUAUAUAUAUAUAGAGCUGGGGACUCACUUAUGUUCGGCUCGAAAACAGCUCGUGUAUUAUAUAUAUAUAAUUAUAUAUAUAUAUAAAUAUAUAUAUAUAUAAUUUGAUAUUUAGCGCAACCUAAAUAUAAAGUACAAUUCAAUUACAAAAUGACUCAUUUAUAUAUAAAAUUUUAAUCAUUAGGUCAAAAUAUAACAAGUAAAAUCUUAUAAAUCUAUUUCCUAUUUAUAUUCUUUCUAAUCCUUUUAAAUUCUUAUUCAUAGGCCAGCUCAUAUUCGGCUCGAUACUUUAACGAGCCAGCUCGUGCCAAACACGAGCCGACCCUAGUUCGCUCGUGUUCAGCUUGUUGA
rnacentral:lncRNA from 1 species